rnacentral:lncRNA from 1 species
UUUCUUUUUUUUUGUUUGGGAAAGUUAUGGGGUAAGGGAGACAUAAUUUAGGCAACAUUUAAUCUGUUACUGGUUUUAUGCAUAGUGUAAUCAAAAUAAAUAUCUUGCCGAUUUUGUUGAUAGUAUUUUUUUAUGGAAACAUGCAAAUAAGGAAGGACAUGGUGCACCUUCCUAACUGUUGUCGCACAAUUCCCCACGGCCUCAUAUCUACUCAAUAAAAUCCUACGGGCUCCUUCCUCUCUCGCUUUACCAGUUGUACGACCGACUUUUUGCCCCGUCAAUGGAAGCAAUGGCGAAUUUUGGGGGAGUGCGACACGCAGUCGACUACGUGUACGAUUUCAUAGCACUUUCCUCAGACGAAGAAGUACUAGAGUAAGUUCUCACGGCCCGAUAGAUCUAAUAUUUUUUGCUCUUCAUCGUCUAAGUCCACUGCCAUGUACAUGUAUACUUUGCAUUUAGAAGUUAUACCCCCAUAAAAAAUCUUCCUGCCCUGUACAUAUAUACUUUACGUUUAGAUUAGAAGAUAUACCCUGGUCAGGAUCACGUGAUCUUUGUCUAAGUUCAGAUUUCUGUUACAAAGGCUGAAUGUGUAGUUAUUUUUCUUAUACAAGUAUAUAAAUACAUAUUGAAUGGUUGUUACUAGAUAUUAUAUUUGUAUUGGUAAAUUGUGUCUAAAACCAGUGUUUUGCGGCGUCUAACAUAAAUAGCUGAUAAGUAUGGAACAAAAUACGUAUGAAACUGUGGUCCAAAACUAUGGGGUCUAACACCUUUUACAACAAUGUUGAACAAGCUAUAAACUACAUGUUGAAUUUUUCAUCCAAAAUCUACAACAAUUUUUAUGCAGGUCCAUGUACUACUACGAAAACACUUCAAUCUGUUAGUUUAUUGCCCGUACAUAAUAUUAAAAAUACUUAACUUGGUAGAGAUUACAAUAUCUUUUAGGUCAUUUAAUGUGAUAUAUACUACUGUUUAAUUAUUCAUAUCUUAUAGACAGCAACACAGUUUUAUCGUUUGAGUUUAGGAUUACUUGAAGUCAUAUAAUUGGUAUGAACCUUGAUCUUCAUUUUUACAGCACAAUCUGGAUUAGGAGCCCGCGCCCAUUCCCUAUCGAGAUUAGCCUACGGAUCAUCCGAGACACCAUACUAGGAGAUGGACUUGUCCAUCCGUUAUGCUUCAAUUUAGCUGUGUGUAAGAUUACUACCGACGCAGCAGAGAGGAGCGCAGGCACCAACUCUGUUGGAAAGACACAUUUUUUCAAUUUGGGAUUCCAUGUGCAAGCACAGGUGCUAAGGCAGACUUGGUUAAGCCAAGAACAGCGCACGAAUGCACUGAUUAACAAUGUCGUGCUUGAGCCUUUUCCAAGAUACUGCGUGUUUCACACCCCUACAAUUGUAAGUGUUCUCUUUCUUACAAAUUAGUUGGUUACUUUGUUUGACAUUUACCUUUGUCUACCAAAUGCAGUAUCUUCUACCACUGUCACUCGUGGAUUCGUCCUACGGUCUUUUAGCAGUGAACAUGGAAAUGGAGAGGACUAUCGUUAUUGAUUAUUCGAACCAGGAUGUGUUUCAUUUUGAGGAGGACCCCCAUGGCACUGAACUUCAGAGGGAAGCCCUUUUAGUGAAGCAAGAACUUAGCUCUGUAUUGCAACAGGAGGCCCCUGAUAGGAACAGCCAACUUGUGGAAUGGCCCGAACAAGAUAACAUUCAUGUUUCACCUCGGUGGUACUAUUCUAAAUUUGGCUUGCAUAUUAGUGUGUGCUCUAAUAUAGCUAAUACAAUAUGUUUUGUUUGGUGACAGUAUGGACUCCGGAUUCAAAGUUCUACAGGAGAUGGCCCAUCUGUAUGAAACCAUCGGUAAUGACAUGGUUCAUAACAUGCCUAGGACUGACGUAAGUGAUUUUGUAAUGAGGUUACAUAUUGCAUAUAUUUGCUAAAUAUAUCUUCUGACUUUGUUUAUGCAUAAUUUGUAGGAUCCACAAAGUCUCAGGAAGCGACUAAUGGUCCAGCUGUUGAUGGUUAGGGAUAACCAAGCAAAGGAUAACAUUCCAGAGCAAGUUAGAGCAGCGUUGAGAUUUAUUGGUGGCUAAGGAUGACUUCUCCAUCGAUAAAUACCUUAUAAUAAAAUGAUGUUUAGUUGCUUUCUAGGAAAUAUCUGUUUCAAUGCCCGUGCUGAUGAUCAGUUGACAUUUUCUCUUAUAUUUAUGUUGGUUGGUAUCCACUAGCUAUAGAUUGAUGUUGGCAUCCCCUAGCUUUGUUGGUUAUAUAUCUAUCCUUCCAUCCGUCUAAAUAUUACGAGAAGAAGGCCAUAUUAGUUUGGACCAGGUUUGGUGCUCCAGGUGCACCGGCAGGUGAUGUUUUCAGAUAUUCAGUGCCUCGCAACAUAUACUACUACUACCUCGUAUAGUAUAACUCCAUCCAUACAUGCACUGCUAUACUAUACGAGGUUUUCUUCGUAGUAAAAAACACAUUCCAGCUAGCGAGUAGUAAAUAAAAAUAUGAUUGUCAUACGACACGUACCUUGCAUAUAUUAUAUAAGUUUCAAGUUCUCCUUUAUCUGCCUCUCUCGCCGAUUCCUUCAAUUCCAUCCUUGCAAAUAAACACUGAUUAUCUUUUAUGUGUUCCUGAAUAGAAAACAAAAAUUAGAGAGAGCAAUGGGUUUUCUUAUUGAUCAGUACAUAUAGAUAAAACCUAAAACUAAAAUGGUAGGUAUGUUAGAGCCAGACAUAUAUAUAUAUAUCGCAUCUUUGACUAAGUAUAUUGGACGAAAACGAAUCCUAUUUGUGAGCUAGAUGUCUAUUUAUCAUGUUGCUAUUUACCUCUUCAAGUGUUUGCCUUAUUUUUUAUUCUAAUGUAUGGCACUCUUAUGGGCCCGCAGAAGGUUUCUUUGUAUGCUUUACCCAAAUUCAUGUUUUUUUCCCGCCGAAGAAAAAACUACUCAACUUAGUUUUAAAAUUUUGUCAUGCCUAUUAAAAAAUUGUAUAUAUGUAUUUUGAAAUAUGUUCAUCAUGCAUUCAAGAAAAAUUUAACAUGUACUAAACAAAGUAAUGUUCAAAAUUACUCUUACACUUGUACAAACACGUUCUUUAUGUUUUUACAUAUUUAUAGAGUGAUGGAACCUAUGUACCUCAGGUGCAAGUGUUUCUGAAUUCCACCGAUCAUUUCCUGCAUUAUUUGCCUGCAGAUUAUAGUUUAACUUGACCCUAUUAGAAUGAUGUAAUGGACUCACUUAUGAAAAUUGAGUUGAGCAUACUCUUACAUUAGAAGGCUUCAAGGCUCCCCAUGAUUUUACAUUCACCCAGUUUAGUUGAUCAAGGGACACAUUUGCACUGAAAACAGACAUUUGUACAGGGAAAUCAAAUAGCCACCACGACACCAAAGUAUAAGAAUUUUGAUUAAAAAAAGAGACUGAUAUUCAACAGCCAGAUACAUUUGAAAUUAUAAAUUUGAUUGACGCCAUUGUUAUUUAAAAAAAAUAUGAUUAUGCCAUAAUUGAGCUUAGCAAUUUUAAUAUUUCAAAUGAGGAAAUCAUCAAGCAAUUUAGGUUUUAGUUCUCAUUUAAUUAAAUUCGUAGUGUUUGUUAUAAAUUAUUUGGAAAAUAAUGAACUCUAUGGCUCUUAUUACUAAACAGACUAUCCUGCUAAUGUUUUAUAUAUGGGAUUUGGGUUGGCUAAUUGGAUCCUAGCAAACCAAGACAACGAUGCAUCUUGCUUUGCACGUCAAUGAGAUUUUAACAAAGCAAACAAUCUGUUUGUCUUACACAAUUUGUGCAUUUAUCAUCAAGCUUAACAUAUACAAGACCACUAACAAUAUCGAGACCCUCACAUAUAUUAUCCCAGGCCUGCAUAUCUGGUUCAGUGAUUGUUCGACAUAAACAAGACCACUCACAAUACUACUACUAAGCUACUAUACUAAGUUGAUACCGUUUAGUCGUGUAGAGGAUGUACCUGGCUGGUCAAAUUUGCUGGAGUCAGCUCUGUCUCACCACAGUCUUCACCACCGUGGCCUUGUCAUGGCCGUCGGGGAUACCUCUUCGCCCAGGCCCUGCCUUUGAGGCCCGGUCACGGCACCUCGAUACAUCAUCGAGGAGGAUAUCAGGUCUUGGAAGCAAAAAAAGGAAUAAUUUUCUUCAAGUUGAUACCAUGUAGUCGUGUAGAGGAUGUACCGACCUGGGCAAAGUCGCUGGAUUAUGCUCUGUCACAAAUGGUCUGCAACAGUUCCACGCCCCCUUGUGACCUACGGCCGCUUGUACCCAGACGAUGUUGACGUUGUAACAGGUCGAUGAUGCAUUAGAUGCAUCUGUGUUUUGAUUGUGCAUACAACAAAAACAGAAGGUUCUUAAUUGCCAUCUAUCAGAAACAAAACAUUUUAGAUUAUUUUAAUGUUUAUUUAACUUGAUUUAAACGUAUGAAAAGUCAUGUUUACCUAUUCAAACUGAACAAUAAUAAAAAUAGAAUCAAUAUUUAAAUAGACAAAUAAGAUAUUUGGUUUUUAUAUGGCAUGCAAUCAGUAAAUUAUCUGCCAUGAUAAGUUCUUUAUUUAAUUAAUACAACAAUUUAAAUUUUUAGUAAGUUCUGAUUUCUGACAUCUUUUAUAAUUUAUUAUGAGGUGUGUUUGAUGAAAAAAGGAAAGAUAUCUACAACAUACGUAAGUAUAUAUGGUAAAACUUGAAAUAUAUCAGCUACUCAGCCUUCCCCUGCAUGGCCUACCUAUAUAUGUUAACCUCCUCUGCCAUCCCUCACCCCCCCUCCUUACUCUCCCUUCGCCCAUCACAGAUAGCAAAGGAUCAUAAUACCCAUACUUGGAGCACCAAUUCCCUAGGAGUACCUUAUGUAAGCAAGGAGCACCAAGAAGGUGAGGUCCUCUAGGUAUGUGAAAAUUUCUGGAUAUUUGUAUUCUGUAAAAGGGCAACAGUUACUAGAUUAGGAUCAUGCUUUGGUCAGGCAUACCAUCAAAAUCCAAAAAAAGAACACCAUUGGAGAUAGUGCGAGGUUAGAAAAAUAUCAUAGCCAAUACAAUUGAUUUUAGAUCUAAUCAAGCAGUCCUAUUAGAUGGGAUGCAACUGAAUACAAACAGCUAUUUCAGAUAUUAUAGGCUAACAGUCUAUUCUGGACAUCGCAAGUGUGGCAUACACCUAACUGUUUAAGUUAUGACCAUGGUUUGAGCCAGAAAAACAAACAAUUAACUUCUUAAGUGUUUCAACAUGCCAGAAAACAAACAAAUUAAAUCAUCUUCUGAAGAUAAAUAUCAUCAGAGUCAUAAUAUAAAAUCAUUACAUGUAAUAGAAUUUGCAUGAGACAUAAUGCUUCGAUGGAAUAGUCUAAAAGUAUUCAUAAAGCCAAAUUUAUUAAUGGCAGUGCUUCCUAAUUUUACCCUAAGAAAGACAUCUUGGCUGGACAGACUUAAGAAGGAUUUCUCUCUCCUUACCUAUAGGGUCAAUGAAAAACACAAACAUCUUAUCCCUCUCAUACUUGCCUCCAUAGCUUAGUUCUCUCUCCACCCCCCAAAGUGGCGGGUAGAUACAUGUAAAGAUAUCAUGUAAAUUGUACAAAGUUUUUCUAAUAUAAGUUUAAAACAGUAGGAGGUUCUCCUACUAUUCAAGGUUCAAAAAAAAUAACACUAAUGUCUAAUAUUAUAAAUAGCACAGAGUGGGUUGUAACACGAUGGUAUUUUACGUAGCAUAGAACAUUUAAUAUAUUUAAUAUAUCCAGAGAAGAGGUGAAGCACCGCUACAGUUUUAUACCAACAAAAUAAACAAACAUGCAGAUUCAAAUUAUAGCCAUUGCAUAUGAAGGCAAGACCGCAUUAUAAAGAACAUGUAUUCUGCUCCUACAAAUAGCAUGUAAAGAAAACCUCACUAUCGUCCUGGCGCUGGCCUGAGCGCUCCAGACAACGAGGAUGCCGCUCCCGGUGCCGGCAUCAACAACCACCUGACAGACCCACCGAAUCAAUCAAGCCGGAGCCAGCAAGAUAUAUACAUUGAUCAAUAAUCAAAUUUUCAUUAAUAUACUGCGCUGACUUCCAGCACCAUCUUAUUGAGAGCAUAUUGCCAGUUCUUCUCUACUUUAUUUCAACACUGUUGUCUGCUCACAUAUAUUAUAAUAGACCAGAAAAAAUAAUCUACAUAGUUUAUUAUGUCCACUACCACCAAGUUGGGAGUCAAAAAUGUUACAUACUGUGCGGCAUCUUGAAAAAGUACUAGCUGAAAGAAUAAGCAACUCGUUUGAGGCCAUUGUAACCUACUUUUGAUGUUGUUUGCACAUGACCCGACCUCUCCCUCUCUCUUCCCCUAAAGCUAAUAGUAGCAGUACACACUCACAAUAGCUAGCACAUACAUUUGUACAUCUCCCUCUACCUCUCCCUCUCUCUUCUCCUAAUACUAAUAGUAGCAGUACACGCUCACAUAGCUAGCCACAAAUUACAGCAAAACGUGGACCGUAGUCCAUUCGCGGGUACUGGGCAGGGGGGAGGGGCCGUUUGUCUCACCUUGACGCGGAAGUGGUGGGGGUUGCCGAAGACGGCGGAGUGGUAGACGAUGAAGACCACAGGCUGCACCACCGUGACCCGACCUCGUGGUGGUUCUUCUUGCCGGCGAUGUGGACCACAGGCUGCACCACCGUGGCCGUGUCUUCGCCCUGGCCCUCCAUGUGUGGCCGUGCCAUGGCGCCUCGAUAGAACAGCGAGGAUGAGAUCAGGUUAGGGAAGCAACAAAUGGAAGAAGUAGAGGAGGAACCACCACGGAUCGGCGUACCGGGGCUUCUGGCGUUGCAGAUCAGUGUACCUUUUCUAAUAUGGAAUCUUAUGGAGCUCUAGGUGGUUAGACCAAUACUCAUCCAGGAUAAGAAACCGUUCAUGUGCUCUACCAAGAGCAUAUGCCGGGAUAAGAACACGCCCCCCUUGAGAAACAGUGUUGUGGAUGGCAUCAGUGAAGCGCUUUUCUCUGACAUGGCGGGGUUGGUGUUGCUGCACGCCAUAAGUUGACUCAAUAAUGCAAAUAUCAGGGGAGAAUUGGGGGAUCUCAGCAGCUUUUAGGUGCCGGUCUUCUUCACGGGAGUAGUCACCGGUGUAAAGAAUGCGAACACCGGCAAUAUCCACCAUGAACAUGGCAGCACCAAGUACAUGGCCAGCAGUAUAGCACCAGAAGCGUAUGCCAUUAACUUCAAGUGUUUGGUGGAAGUCUAUGACCUGCAUCACAAUUAUAUAUUAAUACAAUGUCCAUUCUCCCUGUGGACUUUCAAUCCUCACAAGCAGAAUCAGGCCUCAGCUGUAAAGGUAAAAAAUCCUGCUAUUUCGAAGCAAUGCCCAGAUAAUAUAGGGUUCUUAAAUCUUAAUUUUACCAACAGCACAGCGACUUUUAAAUGUUUUGACAAUUCAGAAUUAAUACUGACACAUAAGCGCUCAAAAGGCGGGAAGCAGGAGCUAGCUAGAUGGGGGGGACUGAAUCUAAGUUCACUUUAAAAUAUUACCCAAGCAUGUAAUAUAUAUGUAGGCAACAACUCCAUGUACCUAAAGAACAGAGUUUGACUGAAUUUGUAGGAAAAACUAUCAAGAACUACGAUACCAAAUUAAUAUCAUUGGAUACGCAACAAAAAUAUAUAUUCUUAUUAAUGUAGUUGUUGAUGGUUUUUCCUACAAACAUGAUCAAACUAUGCACCAUUUGACUUCAGACAACAUUUGUAUGCCUUCUUUUCAGAGACAGGGGGAGUAGUAUCUUUAUUUGUUCUUCUUUUUCUUCUCUAAAUAUAGUGUUUCCAGUUUUCUACCGACCAGGCUUUAUCAAUCAUCAUCGUAUUGGCUACAGGCAUUCCAUACCAAACCAAAUGGGUCUAGUCGUUCACAUUUACACAUGCCCGAAACAACGAGAUAAGCAAAAAUAAGGUACUGUACCUCGAUCUUGUCCAUGGAACGGAUGAUGUCCUGCUCGUCAAACAGCAUGUCCUCCACCGACACCUUGCUGACCUUGACGUAAUCCGAGAGCAGCAGCCUGUAGAUGGCCUUGGUGGCGUGGGUCAUGAACACGCGGCCCUUGAACGUCGUCUCCAAACAAAAACAGAGCAAAUUCAGGUACCAAACAGCAUAAGAACAUCGACCUCCGACGCGUAUUACCUACCUACCUUCUCGAGGAAGUAGGGCAGCGAGGCGGCGUGGUCCAAGUGGAAGCUGCAAUUCCAAUCCAAGGCCGGAAAUUAGGCGUUAGGAACGCAGAUAUGCGCAGGUGGGGAUGGAGGCGCGGUUGCUUACUGGGUGACGAGGAGGACGUCGAUGGCGGAGGGGUCGAUCUCGUCAAAGUAGGGCAGCGCCGCCAUGCCGGAGUAGGCCGGGUGGAUGCCGCAGUCGAACCGGGCACCAGCGAAGAGUCAGUCAGUCGGAUUCCCCCAACAAGAUCCAAGUGGAAGNNNNNNNNNNNNNNNNNNNNNNNNNNNNNNNNNNNNNNNNNNNNNNNNNNNNNNNNNNNNNNNNNNNNNNNNNNNNNNNNNNNNNNNNNNNNNNNNNNNNNNNNNNNNNNNNNNNNNNNNNNNNNNNNNNNNNNNNNNNNNNNNNNNNNNNNNNNNNNNNNNNNNNNNNNNNNNNNNNNNNNNNNNNNNNNNNNNNNNNNNNNNNNNNNNNNNNNNNNNNNNNNNNNNNNNNNNNNNNNUAUGCGCAGGUGGGGAUGGAGGCGCGGUUGCUUACUGGGUGACGAGGAGGACGUCGAUGGUGGAGGGGUCGAUCUCAUCAGAGUAGGGCAGCGCCGCCAUGUCGGAGUAGGCCGGGUGGAUGCCGCAGUCGAACUGGGCACCAGCGAAGAGCCAGUCAGUCGGAUUCCUCCAACAAGAACAAGGAGAGCUAAGCGGGCAGAGAGAGGAGGGGUUUGGAUGCGAACCAGGACGGUGCGGCCCUUGAAGUUGCCGAAGAUGGCGGAGUGGUAGACGAUGAAGGGGCGGAGGAGCGCGGCCGGCAGUUCGUCGACGCGCGCGGCGAUGCGGCGGCGGAAGGGAAAGGGGCAGAUGAAGUGAGUGGAGUGAGGAGUGAAAGGAUAAGGUGAAUGGGGCGGGGUAGGUGGCCACGAGUUAUGCGGGAGGCGGGGGAGGUGUGCCGUGGCGCUAGGGAGGUGGGCCGUCGCGCGGGGGAGGUGUACUGUCGCGUGGGGAGGUGGGCCGUCGCCUUGAUGCACUUGUGCUGGGCCUGGCCCAGCUUGUUCUGGCCCUGUGUAAUACUGUGGAUAAAAAUCAACUGUGCAUAUAUAAUAAAAACUAUACAUACCUCACAAAAUCAAUAAAGGUGAAUAAUAAUAUACAUGGUUCAUACUAAUAUACAUUUUUUAUACUUACUAAAUAAACCAAGGCCAUCACAAAAAAAUAAGAGGGGGUAAAUAAUAGAAAACACAAAUAUACUUUGUUAAAGAAGGUUUGUUUGCAUGUUAUAUUUUCUUUUGUUGGACAGAUUUCCACAGCCUACAUAAAUAAUUUAAAUAAUUUUCAAAUGAUUACUUACUUAUAUAAGAACAUUAUAUUUAGUUGUUUUUCCCGAAUUUUCAUGUGGUAGGACAUUCAUUUAAUGGUAAUGUAUUUAUAAUAAUACCAAUUAGGUUUCUUUUUUGCAUACAAAUAGUUGUGUCAGUUUCACUUUUACUUUUAUUAUAUAUUAUAUAUAAUUAUAUGCUGUACUAGGAAAUAUUAUUUUUAUUUCAUCAUGGUAUAGUUGUUAUUAGUGCUGUGAUGAAAAUUUUUAAAUUAUUUUUAUACCUCACAAAAUAACAUGUAUAUUUACAUUAUACAUACCUAACAAAAUGUACAAAUUUUACAAAAGAGUAGGAAAAACAAAUAUACUUUGUUAAUGUUGGUUUGUUUGUUUUAGUUUUUGUUUGACAAUUUUCGCUAUGCUAUACAAUUAAUUAAAAAUAAUUUAAGCAAUUUCAGACCCCUACUUACUUAUAUAUAAACAUUAUAGUUUGUUGUUUUCCCCAAAAUGUUGUGUUAGUAAAAUGAUUUUUAAUAUUUAUUUUUCUAAUAAAAUCAAAUGCCUUUUCUUUAGCAGAUAAAUCAUUUGUGUUGGUUUCACAUUCAGUUUUAUUAUAUAUUUUAAAUAAUAUUAUGAUGCAGUAAAAAUUAUUAAUUAUAUUUUACCAUAGAUAUAAAUUGAUGGGUUCCGACAUACGCACUGAUGCAACGAUGACAGAACACGCUGAAACACCACGAGAAGAGGUGCGUAUAGCUAAACUUUCUUUGUACGUAUCUUAUAGAUGAUAAUACAGAAGGUCUAAUUUUGUAUUUUUGUUAUUUUAGAUUACAGAAGUCAUGGAUAUUGACUUUGGAGAUGCACGGAAAGAAUACAUUGAUGGUUCAGAUGCGAUGUCGCUGAAAGGGGACGAAAAUUCACAACAUAAAAAUGUCGACGAGGUUAUAUGUCAUAACAAACCCAAAAAGGAUGCCAAUUUACAUGUUCUCCCACAAGGUUUUUUUAUAUCAUUAUCAAUUAUUUUUUUGUGAUAUUUCCUUUUGUAUUCAACUAAUUUUGCUCAUUUUGAUUGCUAAGUUGGCUCGCUUUAUUACCAUUUCGACAGACUAUGUUUGUACCCUUAGAGAUGUUACAGUCAUCGAAUCAAUCAAGUCUUCCCCAAGAAUACCCAGUUUGUGGACAUUGGAGAUGCCUUGUUAUCAACCGACGAGUUGGAAUGCCUUAUGAAAGAUGAUAUGUUCUUACAUGAUGGUGUAAGACCAAAUGCACAAACUUUGUAAUUAAUAAUUUGAACAAAAUAUAAUAUCAUAAAUUGUAAAUAUAAUGUAAAUGUUGAUUACAGGUGAUAAAUGCUUACAUAUAUUGCAUGCUUGCUCACGGCCAUCUAAAAGUCAGGGCGGGCGAAAAGGUAGAAAUUGUUAGCACGUUUGUAUCUGGCCAGAUAAAAGAAGACGGGGAAAGAAACAUAGACCCAUCAAAAUAUCACCGCAUCGUGCAUCAUGUCAAUACUUACCUACAACAAGAUAUGGUUAGUUUUUGUCUCGUUAUCUAUGCAUAUAAUUAUGGAUUGUUUUUAUUUAAUUCAAAGUUAUAAUGAAUUAUUAAUAUUUAUAUCUAAUUGCGAUCGUGACUUGUAUGAUAUUUACACCAGUUAUUCAUUCCGAUUAACAUGUCGGGCUACCAUUGGUAUCUAGCAGUCGCCAAUGCCAAAAAACGUGAGAUUCAAGUAUUGGACUCACUUGGUUCUAGGGUCAAACGCAAUGACCUUGCUACUACGGUAGGUAUAUAUUUUUUUACUCAUCUUAACAUAUGUUUUGUUUGCCUUGUUCCCUAAUAUUUCUCAUAUAUAAAAUAGUUACUAGGACUUGAGAAGCGUCUAAAACUUGUAGAGCAUAGUCCGGAGUUUAUCAGAGGUCAUAAGUGGCCCGAUCUUAAUGUUACAAAAUGGACGGUUGUAGAGCAGUUUCAUGAGGCAAUACAAACCGACGGGUAAGCACAUGUUACAAUGUUUUAUUUAUUUGAUUUAUCUGUGUGGUAUUUUAAAGGAUUGUUUUAUAAUAUUAUAGCGUAUCAUGUGGAUUGUUCAUGUUAAAUUAUAUGGAAUAUUGGACAUCACAUGGACUGUCAGACACGCUCACCCAGGUAUUCCAUUUUUAUACAUUAUCUCGUUAUUUUAUCUCAAAACAUUAUAUAAAUUUAUUUAUAUAUAUUUUGUAGGAGGAUAUGGAACAUUUUAGGAAAAAAUUGGCUGUCAUUUUGCUCUAUUCAGAGUUGAAUAAGCUAAAAGGAGAUCCCAUAUACCAUCAACCUGACGAUGAAGAAACUUUAGCUAAUUCUGAUAUCGAGAUCCUGGAGAAUCCAUCAGACGUAGUCAAAGACAAACGUCCUGCCCCAAUCACUAUCAUACCCACGGACCAACGUGAAUUACUUGCCGGCCUCUGCAACUACAUCAUGUCUAUCGAUGAUGCUGGGUGUUUGGAGUAAGUAUCAUGCAUCAGUAUUUAAUGUGCGGAUUUAUAAUAUUAUUAUUCUUAUCAUCCAAUUUAUAGGAAGGUAUGGGUCCGGAGCUCGACACCUGAUCCAAUGGGCUUAAGUCUUAAGAAACUUCAGUGCAUACUUAACAUGGAGCAGACCAUGGACAAUGACUGCUUCAACACAGCCGUGCGUAUGCUGGCAUGUGACAAGGGAGUAUUGUUCACAUACCCUCCUGUGCACUACAUGGAUCUACGAUUUUGUGUAAAUUAUCUUAACUCUUCAUUCUAUGUGUCAUUAUUAUCAACAUGUUGAAACAAUAUUUCUUUUUUUACUUAGUCCAUGAUGCUAGAGUCAACACGAGGUCAGAAGUUUUGCGAGAAGGAAACUAUUCAGAGUUUGGCAACAUUAUUUGAUAGCUGGCCUAAGAUGGACAACGACAUCUCAUCGUGCAACAAGGUAAGUAAAUUAUUUUGUCAAUUGUUAUCAUGGUUUAUUGUUGUUUCUAAUACCUGCACUUGUAGAUUUAUCUUCCCUAUGCAUCCAUCGGCCGAUACAUUUUGUACGUCAUCGACAAAGAAGCAUGUCGUCUAUAUAUUAUGGAUCCUAUUCAAACAUCACAAUCGUUAGAGGAGAAAAAUUUGAGACAUGCACUGAAAUUAAAAAGUUUUGCAAGGGAUUUCAAAGAAGCACUCGAAAUUAAGCUGCCUGGUUGGAAUUAUGAUCUAUCUAAAUGGCAACGUUUAUUUCCGUCCGGUGUUCCAACGAGUAUCGAUGGGUAAUGAAUUCAUAACAAAAACAUUUACUUUUGUUAUUACUAUAUUCUUUACAUUGUUAAUUUAAUGUUUUACAGGAAUUUGUCUGGCUAUUUUGUUUUUCAUUUUAUGCUCUGGUGGAACGGUGAAGAUUUGGUCAAGCCGAUUUGCGCAUUGAGUAUUGUCCGUUACAUGUUUUAAGACCUUCGGCAUGAAAUUUUCAUACUAACUACAUGUAUGCGUUUGUGCAGGAUGGGUAUGAAUUGAGGAAGCAGUUUUUGUUAUACUUGCUAAAACAUCGUGGGAAUGAGGCUAAAGGAAACUUACCGGAUAUUGUGCAAGAAUUUCUUAAGCGCAUCAUCUAGAUAUUAAUAGCUUUGUAAUAGAUGUUUAGUUGGAACAUCGCUCAGUUUGUUACAUGGACAUGUCUUUAAUUUUUCUUAUGUUAUCAAUUUACAUUGCAAAAAUAAAGUUCAGUUAUUAAAUAAUUAUGUUUCUAUUAUAUUGUUUGUACGUGUGGAAUUUAACAUGUAACUCCUGCGAACUUUUUCAAGAGCCCGUGGCAACGCACGGGCACUCUACUAGUAUAAAUAAAGAAUGAGUUCAUUACAGUACCUUGAAGUAGUCUUUUGUUUUCUUUCUCUAACGGAGCUCACGAGAUUUCUGUUGAGUUUUGUGUUGUGAAGUUUUCAAGUUUUGGGUGAAUUCUUUUGAUGGAUUAUGGAACAAGGAGUGGCAAGAGCUUAAGCUUGGGGAUGCCCAUGGCACCCCCAAGAUAAUCCAAGGACACCAAAAAGUCAAAGCUUGGGGAUGCCCCGGAAGGCAUCCCCUCUUUCGUCCACUUUCAUCGGUAAUUUACUUGGAGCUAUAUUUUUAUUCACCAACAUGAUAUGUCUUUUGCUUGGAGCAUCUUGUAUUAUUUGUGUCUUUGCUUGUUAGUCUACCACAAUCAUCCUUGCUGUACACACCUUUUGAGAGAGCCAUACAUGAUUUGGAAUUUGUUAGAAUACUCUAUGUGCUUUACUUAUAUCUUUUGAGCUUGAUAGAUUCGCUCAUAGUGCUUCACUUAUAUCUUUUGGGCGUGAUAAUUUUUGCUCUAGUGCUUCACUUAGAUCUUUUAGAGCACGGUGGUGGAUUUGUUUUAAAGAAACUAUUGAUCUCUCAUGCUUCACUUAGAUUAUUUUGAUAGUCGUUAAUAGCAUGGUAAUUUGCUUGAUGUUAAUAUACUUGGUGUUCAAGAUAUGUGAAACCUUCUUUUGAGUGCGUUGAAUACUAAGAUAAGUUUGAUGCUUGAUAAUUGUUUUGAGAUAUGGAGAUGAUAAUAUCAAAGUCGAGCUAGUUGGGUGAUUAUGAAUUUGAGAAAUACUUGUGUUGAAGUUUACAAGUCCCGUAGCAUGCACGUAUGGUUAAAGUUGUGUAACAAAUUUGAAACAUGAAGUGUACCUGGCUUGUGCAUCCUCAUGAGUGGCGGUCGGGGACGAGCGAUGGUCUUUUCCUACCAAUCUAUCCCCCUAGGAGCAUGCGCGUAGUACUUGAAUUUUUGAUGGAUUCUAUAUGUUUGCAAUAAGUAUAUGAGUUCUUUUGACUAAUGUUGAGUCCAUGGAUUAUACGCACUCUUACCUUUCCGCCUUUGCUAGCCUCUUCGGUACCGUGCAUUGCCCUUUCUCACCUUGAGAGUUGGCGCAAACUUCGCCGAUGCAUCCAAACCCCGUGAUACCAUAUACUCUAUCACACAUAAACCUCCUUAUAUCUUCCUCAAAACAGCCACCAUACCUACCUAUCAUGGCAUUUUCAUAGCCAUUCCGAGAUAUAUUGCCAUCCAACUUCCACCAUCAUCAUGACAUACAUUACUUUUGUCAUAUUGCCAUUGCAUAUCAUGUAGUUGACAUCGUAUUUGUGGCAAAGCCACCAUGCAUUAUUUUCCAUACAUGUCACUAUUGAUUCAUUGCACCAUCCCGGUACACCACCGGAGGCAUUCAUAUAGAGUCAUAUCUUGUUCUAAGUUUCGAGUUGUAAUCCUUAUGUUGUAAUCAAUAGAAGUGUGAUGAUCAUCAUUAUUAGAGCAUUGCCCAAAUAAAAAAAGAGAAAGGCCAAAAAAAGGUCCAAAAAAAGAAUAUAAAAAGGGCAAUGCUACUAUCUCUUUUUCCACACUUGUGCUUCAAAGUAGCACCUAGUUCUUCAUGUAGUCUCAUAUCUUGUGCUUCAAAGUAGCACCUUGUUCUUCAUGUAGUGAGUCUCAUAUAUUGUGCUUCAAAGUAGCACCUUGUUCCUCAUGUAGUGAGUCUCAUAAGUUGUCUUUUCAUACUAGUGGGAAUUUUUCAUUAUAGAACUUGGCUUGUAUAUUCCUACGAUGGGCUUCCUCAAAUGCCCUAGGUCUUCGUGAGCAAGCGAGUUGGAUGCACACCCACCAGUUUUAUUUUGUUGAGCAUUCAUAGCUCUAGUGCAUCCGUUGCAUGGCAAUCCCUACUCCUCAUGUUGACAUCAAUUGAUGGGCAUCUCCAUAGCCCGUUGAUUAUCCUCGUCAAUGUGAGACUUUCUCCUUUUUUGUCUUCUCCACACAAUCCCCAUCAUCUUAUUCUAUUCCACCCAUAGUGCUAUAUCCAUGGCUCACGCUCAUGUAUUGGGUGAAGGUUGAAAAAGUUGGAGAUUAUUUAAGUAUGAAACAAUUGCUUGGCUUGUCAUCGGGGGUAUAGAAGUUGGGAACAUCUUUGUGUUAUGAAAAUGAAGCAUAGCCUAACUAUAUGAUUUUGUAGGGAUGAACUUUCUUUUGCCAUGUUAUGUUGAGAAGACAUGAUUGCUUUGCUUAGUAUGCUUAAAGUAUUAUUAUUUUUGCGUCAAUAUGAACUUUUGUCUUGAAUCUUUCGGAUCUGAAUAUUCAUAUCACAAUUAAGAAGAUUUACAUUGAAAUUAUGCCAAAGUAUCACUCCGCAUAAAAAAUUCUUUUUUAUCAUUUACCUACUCGAGGACGAGCUGGAAUUAAGCUUGGGGAUGCCUGAUACAUUUCCAACGUAUCCAUAAUUUUUGAUUGCUCCAUGCUACUUUAUCUACUAUUUUGGACUAUAUUGGGCUUUAUUUUCCACUUUUAUAUUACUUUUGGGACUAACCUAUUAACCGGAAGCCCAGCCCAGAAUUGAUGUUUUUUGCCUAUUUUAGUGUUUCGAAGAAACAGAAUAUCAAACGGAGUCCAAACGGAAUGAAACCUUCGGGAUCGUGAUUUUCCAACCGAACGUGAUCCUGGAGACUUGGACCCUACUCCAAGAAGUGUCCGAGGAGGUCACGAGGGUGGAGGGCGCGCCCCCCUACCUCGUGGGCCCCUUGAAGCUCCACCGACGUACUCCUUCCUCCUAUAUAUACCUACGUAUCCCCGAACGAUCAGAACAGGAGCCAAAAACCUAAUUCCACCGCCGCAACCUUCUGUAUCCACAAGAUCCCAUCUUGGGGCCUGUUCCGGAGCUCCGCCGGAGGGGGCAUCCACCACGGAGGGCUUCUACAUCAUCACCAUAGCCCCUCCGAUGAACUAUGAGUAGUUUACUUCAGACCUUCGGGUCCAUAGCUAGUAGCUAGAUGGCUUCUUCUCUCUUUUUGGAUCUCAAUACAAUGUUCUCCCCCUCUCUCGUGGAGAUCUAUUCGAUGUAAUCUUCUUUUCUCGGUGUGUUUGUUGAGACCGAUGAAUUGUGGGUUUAUGAUCCAGUAUUAUCUAUGGAAAAUAUUUGAUUCUUCUCUGAAUUCUUUUAUGUAUGAUUGAGUUAUCUUUGCAAGUCUCUUCGAAUUAUCUUUUUUGGUUUGGCCAACUAGAUUGGUAGUUCUUGCAAUGGGAGAAGUGCUUAGCUUUGGGUUCAAUCUUGCGGUGUCCUUACCCAGUGACAGAAGGGGCAGCAAGGCAUGUAUUGUAUUGUUGCCAUCGAGGAUAACAAGAUGGGGUUUUUAUCAUAUUGCAUGAAUUUAUCCCUCUACAUCAUGUCAUCUUGCUUACGGCGUUACUCUGUUUUUAACUUAAUACUCUAGAUGCAUGCUGUAUAGCGGUCGAUGAGUGGAGUAAUAGUAGUAGAUGCAGAAUCGUUUCGAUCUACUUGUUUUGGACGUGAUGCCUAUAUACAUGAUCAUUGCCUACAUAUACUCAUAACUAUGCUCAAUUCUGUCAAUUGCUCAACAGUAAUUUGUUCACCCACCAUAGAAUACUUAUGCUCUUGAGAGAAGCCACUAGUGAAACCUAUGGCCCCCGGGUCUAUUCUCAUCAUAUCAAUCCCUAUCACUUUAUUUACUUGCUUUGUUUUUACUUUGCCUUUUACUUUUUACUUUGCAUCUAUCUAUCAAAAAUACCAAAAAUAUUAUCUCUAUCAGAUCUCACUCUCGUAAGUGACCGUGAAGGGAUUGACAACCCCUAAGCGUUGGUUGCGAGUUGCUAUCGUUUUGUGUAGGUACGAGGGACUUGUGCGUGGUCUCCUACUGGAUUGAUACCUUGGUUCUCAAAAACUGAGGGAAAUACUUACGCUACUUUGCUGUGUCAUCUUCUCCUCUUCGGGGAAAUCCAACGCAGUGCUCAAGAGGUAGCACCGUCCGAGGGCUGGAUGGCGAUGGCGGCGUCGGAGGAAGAGCUCGAAGACGAGGCGGUAGGACGUCAAUACGCGACGAAGGCGUCGGUGCCCGCGUACUCCGACUUGACGGCCUUGCCGCCCGCCGCCCUCCUCUUCCGCAGCCUCCCAAUGACAGCCGCCCAAGGAGACAACCCCGAGAAGUUCAAGCAGCCGGCGACACAUAUGAUGGGGUCGCCGGUGCGGCUUAGAGCGGCGCCCGACGCCUAGUCGGACCCGUCAUCCUGCCGCCCGCUGGCCUCGUCAUCGCUGCCGUUGUCUUCCUCGCCACUCUCGCUCGAGGAGGAAUCUUCAACAUCAGAAGAGCUCUCCACACAGCACCUUACGCGAGUCCCAAAGUGUCCGAAGAUCUUGACGGAGAGGAGGCUACUCUCCAUUAGUUUGAAAUGGAGAGUGAGCCCCUCUGUCAAGCUGUGGAGGCGAGCGAAGGUCUUCCACCCUCGGUGGAGAUACAUGACGUGAGGGGCGGGGAACUCGACGUCGGCCCAUGUGCCACUGUUCCCACAACCCCUCAUGUGCAGCCGCAACACCUGCGGCGGAUCCAGCUCCAUCUCCCGCGCAAAUGGAGUCGGGAGGCGAAGGCGAUGACGCGGUGGCUAGCGCAGCCUGAUGAAGAAUUUGCAAGGGUUGUCCCCGGCGUGGCCCUCCACGGAGGAGGGGCUGUUGGCGGAGGCGAGGCUGAUCUGCCGCCCCGUCCUCCUCUCCCUGGAGCACCACGACGGCCUUGACCUCGACCUAGCCUCGUCCCCCUUCCUCUAGCGGCUGGCUCCGCCGCUACGAGCUCUUGGGGAGGAGCGAUACGCUGUCUGGCCAAAACCCUCGCCGCCACCGAUGAAGCGUCGCCAUGCCCCCUCGCCAUGACAGAAGAAAGGAGGAAGCAGGAAUGGGGAGAGGCAGGUGGUGAAGGGUUGAGAGGCACCGUCCCUCCCCUCCCCUCAAUAUAAAGGGGCGGGGGCGAGGCUCGGCCGCCCCCUCUCGGCCAAUCCGGCCCAUUGAAGUGAUAGCGAGCGGGGCCGUCGACCGCCCUCCCCGCUCCAUUGAAGGUGCGUGGGAAUCGACCCAUGUGCGCGCACAACUUCUCACAUACCGCGUGCCUGUCAUUCGCCCUGCGUCGUGCAUGCAACGAGCGUGGCGCGAGGGAUAGGUGUAGUGGGACGCGUGGAGCGACGGUUCCCAAGAGAGGGCAAUAAAUGAGCGGCGGCCCUGCGGCUUCAAGGAGACAUGCAAGCCGCCUCUUUACUGUCCGCCAUGGGAUGACACCAGCAUGCUUCCAUCAUGCGCGCGCACGACCCCCACGUCGUGCAUUCAACGCGGGUCGUAGGGAAGCGCAGCGGACGGAGCAGUUACCGCCAUAAAAAUCUGCCCCAACUGCCCGCGCACCAUUCUGGGCCUGGCCCAACAACGUGCUGCGCUUAUGUAUGGCCCAGGCCCGGGGGCUCCUGUCGGUGUACAAAAGUAGGGGCUCUCCUUUUGACCCCUUUACUUGUGCACGGGCAGUCAGAGCCACCCGCCAUGGCCAUGCAUAACAGGGCAGGAAAGGGAAGCCGGAGAGAAGCCGAAGGCACAAGACAAACAAAGCAACGACAAGGACCAAGGCCACAAAGAUUGGAUGGACGAAGCAGGUUUCCCCGGCAAGGACCCUUGCCAAGGCAGCCUCAGCAGCCCCGGCAAGACCCUUGCCGGGGGAGCUCGCCUCCACCAGCCGAGCGAGACACCUUUGAGCCCACCAACGCUAGACAAACGCAUUGGGACAUGGCUCGGGAGGCACCUCCGUGGUGGCAUGCAGAUCUUUGUGAAGACAAAGAAUAGUCAAGAUCAAAUGAGGAUAGAAAUGCAACAAUCCUCACCAAGAUCCUCACCGAAGAAACCCACAAGACCCCCGGCAAGAUCCUUACCAAGGACGCCAGCGCGCCACGGCAAGACCCUUGCCGGGCCACCCGACAAGACCCUCGCCAAGCAUGCCAGCAGGGCCACUGCCAGGCCCACGCCAUCCAAGUCUCCGCCACCGUUCGCAUGCAGCUGCCGACCCAACCAGCUGGGCAAGCACCUACGUGGCAACAUGCAGCCCUUCAUGGAGGCUCCACCACCGUGCCACCUCAGCUGCCUGCCUGCCUACAUGGCACCGCAUGCAUCGCUAGCCAGGGUGCAUGUCAAAGCAAGGAGGAGUGGCGACGGACGGGGCGGGCCUUGCUCCUGUCCCCGAUAAAGUGAGGGACACCUAAGCCUCGCAUUAAAUGCACUUUGUCCUGUAAUACCAGCGAUAAGCUCACAACGCUGUAGCACUUUCCACCUUCUGUGUGCCACUGUGGCAGCCCCUUUCGCCUAUAAAAGGAGGCCCAUGGUGCACUGGAGAAGGAUUCGGCUCUUUCGAACCUAGCAGCACCCAGAGCUGGUUCAAGAGCUCAAGAACACUAAAUACAUCCACCAAAGCAGGAUCGUAGGGUUUUACGCAUCUUUGCGGCCCGAACCUGGGUAAACCCCCUUUGUGCUGUCUACUAGUCCCGCUCUUCUCACGAUCCCCGCGCCCCGCAACCGUAGUAGGGAUUCCAGUGAUCCCAUAGGUGUCGUUUCCCACCGAUGGAGGUCCUUGAAAUCGACACAUAGGCGCCAGGAUUGUCCUUCUUUGGUACCAUCACCAGGUUUGCUAGCCAGUCUGGGUGUUUUAUUUCUCUGAUGAAUCCGGCUUCGAGUAACUUGGCUAGCUCCUCUCCCAUGGGUUGUCGUUUAGGUUCUGAAAAAUGCCGAAGAGUCUGCUUGACCGGCUUGUAUCCCUUUAGUAUGUUUAGGCUAUGCUCGGCCAGCCUGCGUGGGAUACCUGGAAUGUCUGAAGAGUGCCAGGCGAAGAUGUCCCAAUUCUCGCGCAAGAACGCCCGCAAUGCGGCGUCUAUUGUGGGGUUCAGUUGUGCCCCGAUGGAUGUUGUUUUUGUAGAGUCCAUUGGGUGGACUUGGAAUUUGACUAUUUUAUCCGCUGGUUUGAAAGAGGUGGACUUUGAUCGUUUGUCGAGUAUCACGUCGUCCCUGUCCACUGUGGAGCGCAGCGCAGUUAGUUCUUCGGUCGCGAGGGCUUCGGAUAAUGCCUCAAGGGCCAGGGCGGCGGUUUUGUUUUCGGUGCGGAGUGCUACGUCCGGAUCACUGGCUAGAGUGAUGAUUCCAUUGGGCCCGGGCAUCUUGAGCUUCACGUGCCCAUAAUGGGGUAUAGCUUGGAAGCUCGUGAAUGCAUCCCGCCCUAAAAGGGCAUGGUAUCCGCUACUGAAUGGGGCCACUUGGAAUGUGAUUUCUUCGGACCUGUAAUUCUCCGGUGUGCCAAAUACCACAUCUAGUGUGAUUUUUCCCGCACAUCGUGCCUCCCGACUAGGGAUAAUUUCUCUGAAGGUCGUGUUGCUUUGCUCAAUGCGGCUCUUGUCUAUUUCCAUUUUGUUGAGGGUUUCCUUGUAGAUGAGGUUUAAUCCGCUGCCACCGUCCAUGAGCACUUUAGUAAGCCGGAAGCCGUCCACAAUUAGACUAAGGACCAAAGCGGCUGGUGCUCGGACUGCUCGGAAUUGAGGUUCAUCACUGGCAUUGAAGGUUAUGGUCGUGUUGUUCCAUGGAUUUAUUUCUGCAACAUGGCAGACUUCGGCGAGGCUGCUGAGUGCUCUCUUACGCCUGUUAUUUGAGGCGAAAGUCUUGAAGACUGUCAAUAUUGUAUAGUUGUUUUCUGCGGGAUGAUGCUCUGCGGUAUCGUUCAUGAGGAGAUCCUCGCCGCUCUUGGCCACCUGCCGAAGUAUCCAACAUGCUCUAAGGCUGUGUGUUGGUAUGGUAUCCGGUGUGCUGUGAAUUUUGCAUGGCCAUUGAGCCAUCCCUCCAAUACGGUUCCACGCCCUGUAGUGGGCUUUGGUUUCUUUGUGAUUGGAUCAGGUGACUUGCGAGAGUGCACCAUUUUAGUUCGGACAAGGGGUUUAGUGAGAGUCGGAGGAUCCCAGAAUUUUGCUUGGGUUUUCCAGGCGCUUUCCAUCGCACAGUAAUUCUGUACUAUGGACGCCAAGUCAGUGAAGUGUGCUAUGUCACGGUGACUUAUAGUGUUGAGGAUUCCCUUGUCCGUGCAAUUUUUGCAAAAGAAUGAGAUUGUGUCUUCCUCGCGACAGUCCUUGACCUUGCUCAUUACAAGGAGGAAUCUGGCCCAAAAGUGAUGUACUGUUUCUUGGGAUUGUUGUCUAAUGUGGGAAAGAUCGCUUGUAUCUGGGUGGGUGGGUGGAUUUAAGUCCGAACCCUGACCCGAUCCGAGACCCAGGGGCAAAGGAGCUUCCGAACCUGGCAGUUCGGGUUCCGGGAUGUUGCCUAAUUUUUCUCGCCCGCUGUCUGAUUCUAAGUUCGGAGUUCGGGUCAUGUCCUCCCGCAGACGGGUAUCCGGCUUGGAGAGCUCGGGAAUCUGGACAUAGUUCGUCCUCAAAAUAUUGGAAGAAUCACUGCAUUGCUCCUCCACCACCGCUAUCUGAUGGGUGACCGGCAGAGAGUUAAUCUCUCUUUGAUCGGGUUUAAGCCCAAGCCGAUCAUAGUCCGUAGCGACUCCCAAGGCGGUGAUGCAAUCCAAGAGCUCGUUCAAGGACGAGAUCUCCAUUGGAUCCAUCUGCUCGGUGUAUUCCGAGCUGGCGUGGAUGCUAUUUUUGAUUACCCGAGAAGUCAUUGUCGGCGCGGCGGCCGAACGGGCGGUCAUGACGAAGCCGCCUAGUCGGAGGGUUUGGCCUAAAGCCAGGGCUCCCCCAGAGGUGAUGUUGUCCUUUAUAACAAGGCGAGCCAUCAAGCCUUAUUGUGACGGCACAGUGGAACUCUCAGUGAAAGCACCAAUGUCGGUGUCAAAACCGACGGAUCUCGGGUAGGGUGUCCCGAACUAUGCGUCUAAGGCUAAUGGUAACAGGAGGUGGGAGACACAAUGUUUACCCAGGUUCGGGCCCUCUCUAUGGAGGUAAUACCCUACUUCCUGCUUGAUUGAUCUUGAUGAUAUGAGUAUUACAAGAGUUGAUCUACCACAUGAUCGUAGAGGCUAAACCCUAGAAGCUAGCCUAUGAUUAUGAUUGUUCUUGUCCUACGGACUAAACCCUCCGGUUUAUAUAGACACCGGAGGGGGCUAGGGUUACACAGAGUCAGUUACAGAGAAGGAAAUCUACAUAUCCGAAUUGCCAAGCUUGACUUCCACGCAGAGAGUCCCACCUGGACACGGGACGAAGUCUUCAAUCUUGUAUCUUCAUAGCCCAACAGUCCGGCACAAGUACGUAGUCCGGCUGUCCGAGGACCCCCUAAUCCAGGACUCCCUCAGCGAGAGCUGGUCAACCACUCGAUGACUCAUCGGAAUCUUCGCGAUUCCCUCCAUAUUAAACGAAGGACCGUUACUCUGGUCACGUAUGUAAACGCACUGUAUUCGGAUAACCGCGGACAUACCAGGGACUAUAUAGUAGCCCCACCGUCAAACUCCUCUGGCUAAGUGAAAGUGCUGCCUAAUUCGCCGCACUAACACCUCCUUAACGGACCAAGACGUUGGGUCAAGUGUGAUCAAGCGCUUUUCCGAACACCCCGGCGUUAUACGCGAGGGGGCUGAAGCCGACGACUGCAAACUUUCAGAUUGUAUAGGCAAUAAAACUUUUCGGGCAAAAAGUAUAAAAACAUAGCCUUAAAUAUAUGAUAAUAUUGUUAUUACAAUUUUGAUGCACCUCACUCGAACAUUUUAUUCUUCGAGCACUGGCCCUCUAUUAAGUGGGCACCCUCUAGGACAUCUUCAAAGUAAUGUUCUAGCAUGUUAAGGUCCUUGCCCUCAGGUGGACUCUGCGCUGCAACAUCGGUGGCCUUCAUCUUCGCCCAGUAUAUCUUGACACGGGCAAGGGCCAUCCGUGCACCUUCAAUGCAUGUUAACCGCUUCACAGCGUCGAUACGUGGCACCGCAUUAACAAGUUGCUGCACCAAACCAAAAUAACUAUUUGGAAUGGGCUCAUUUGUCCACAUCCGGGCUAUGACGUCCUUCAUGGCAGUACCGGACAUCUUGUGGAGCUCAGCCCACUGGGCCAUCUGGUCGUUCAACAGUGGACUCUUUGGCAUGUCAAAUUGCAACCAAAGUAGCUUUUCCAUCGCAUGUCCUUCUCGCGCUUGGAAAAAUUGAUUCGCAUUAGCAGCACUCUUCGCCAGGUCCAUAAAGUCGUUCGGAGAACUCCAUAGUUGAUUAAGCGGCGCAUUCUUCGGAUCGCCAAACUUAGUUUGCAAUAAAACGGGCUUACCAGCCGCGAUCUCCCCAGCUUGUCGGAUCUCCUCCCGAGAUGCUCUGGACUCAGACCGAGCUUCCUUCGCCUCUUGUAAGGCCUUGUCAAGAUCGGCUGCUUUGGCUUUGUUAUCUUUCUCAAGAACUUGGCAUAGACUAGUGGCAUCCUUCAGCUCAAGUGCAAUAGUCGAUAUUCUCUCCUCGCACUGACGCCGAGCAGUCUACUCGGCUUUUAAUUCGGCGGCUACCUUUUCAGCAGCCGCAUUACUCAUCCUGGCUUGCUCCUUGGCCCAGGCAAGUUCGGCCCGAAGGGUCUCAACUGCGGCGGCACUAUUUGCAGUUAUACAUAUACAAAUUUUCAGUAUCACACUCAUUUCACAAUAUUAGCAUGUACUGAGUGCCCCAGAGACAUACCUUGCGCCUCGUCGAGCCGCCUGUUCAUAAGCGUGAUGUCAUCAUCCGCUACAUCAACUUUCUGCUUUAGAUGUGCUACCUCCGUAGCUUGGGCAGUUGCCAUGGAUGUAACAACAUGUGUUUCAAUUAGUCAGAUCAUCUCCUGGGCAUACAUUUUUGAUCCUCUAAUCGCAUCCCUUUGGAUGUCAACCAGAGUCUUAGGGGCUACUGUAUAUACACAGGUGCAAGUUGCACUUAUAAUAUAAUGGAAAUUACACUAUGUACCUCGAAGCCUCUUAGUAGGCUCGUGAGGGCUUCAUUCAAUCCACUUUUCGCGGACCGAAAUCUUUCAACCACCGUACCCAUCAAGGUACGGUGUUCCUCGGAGACGAAGUCAUGUUGCAAUAUGCCCAUCAGAGUAUCCGGCGUCUCUAGAUCCGGAACGAGAUGCGUCAUCCCUCCGACAUUGGAUAGUCCGGGACUUUUGUUGUUCCCCUUAGGGGCCGCAUUCCCCGGACCCUGGGCGGCCGAAGCAUUAUCUUCGGCCCCGGACUUCACUACCUCUUGCGCCACUCGUUGAUCGGGAAAGAUCCUCUGGGAUGACACCUCCGCGUCGUCUGCCUUACCAGGCAUGGAAAUCUGUGGAGGCGUCUCGCUCUCCAUCAUCUACGGAAGAAGAUCCCCCGAAGAGGAGGACUAUUGAGGAAGGCUGCGUGUCGGACUGCAAACAUGUGUUUAAAAUGUUACCCUUACAGCCAGGAAAGAACGGGAUAUGUGUAAAAUGCCCCGGUUCACUUACGAUCCGGCUAGGGGCUUAUCUUUACGGAGUGACUGCAUGUCACCAUCCUCCCCUGACUGGGAUGUCUUCCCCCGCUUUGAAGCUUCUCUCUUCAAGUCUUCGGAGGCGGUCUGCUUCUUCCCAUGAGGAGAAGGGAUGUCAGCUUGCCCUUCCCUUCCACUUUUGGAAGGGGAAGUUCCAAUCUCCUCGGACAAAUUGCCUGGUGUGUCUAUAGAAUGAAGGUCACCUUGGGCCUCUUCUCUCUCCUCCUUAUCUUCCCCCGCCGACACUUGAUAUGGCGCCGGAGCCAGCAUCCUUGUUAGCAUCGGAUCGGCAUAGUCUUUGGGAAGAGGAGUCAGACACCUGAUUCUCUCCGCCUUCUUUAGCCAACCCUGGCCGAGUGGAGUUUUAUCAAUACAUUGUUAUGAGUAAUCUAACUAAACUGUGUUCGGGAGUCAAGUACUUAUCGGAGUAUCCGGAUGAUUGCAGUCAAGACCAAGGUCUUCUGUUGUAUCCGGCCACUGUUUUCGUGCGCCGAAGAACAAUUUCCACAUCUCCCUGAGCAUUAUGUCAGAGAAGUGCUGAAGGGUCCGUGGACCUUCCGGAUUGAACUCCCACAUGCGGAGAGGACGCCUCUGGCACGGAAGAAUCCGACGGACUAGCAUUACUUGGACGAUAUUGGUGAGGCCGGUGCCCUUCUUAAUGAGGCUCCGAAUACGACUUUGCAAUGUCUGCACUUCAUCAAUGGAACCCCAGUCCAACCCCUUGUUGACCCAUGAUGCAAGCUGAAGCAGAGGGUCAGAUCGAAACGCAGGUACAGCUACCCGGUUUGUACCACGGGGUUCGGUAAUGUAAAACCACUCUCGUUGCCAUAGAUCAGAAGAUUCUGCGAAGGAGCCCUUCAGCCAGGGGGUAGUGGUAAGUUUGCUUAUUGAAGCACCUCUGCACUCCGCUUGUUUCCUGCCGAUUAUGUUCGGUUUGACGCUAAAGUUCUUGAGCCAUAAGCCGAAGUGUCGGGAGAUACGGAGGAAGGCCUCACACAUGGUGAUAAAUGCCGAGAUGUGGAGGAAGGAUUCUGGAGCUAGAUCAUGGAAACCUAGCACAUAAUAAAACAUAAGCCCUCGAACAAAGGGAUGGAGAGCAAACCCAAGCCCUCGGAGGAAGUGAGAGAUGAACAUGACCCUCUCACUGGAUCUGGGAGUAGGAAUAACCUGCCCUUGAGCAGGAAGCCUAUGGUAAAUUUCCGCGGUCAAGUAUCUUGCCUCCCUGAGCUUUGAGAUAUCUUCCUCUGUGAUAGAAGAGGCCAUCCAUCGGCCUUGAAGGCUAGAUCCGGACAUGGCUGGAGGCUCGGAGCGGCUGGAUUGACCCUUGAGUGUUAGAACUUAAGGUGGAAGGUAGAAGGAAGAACUAGCAUGGAAGAAAGAAGACAGGCCUUAACCCCUUUAUAAAGGCGACGAAUAUCAAGCGUCCCCUCCGUGGCCUUAAAACAUGCCUAUUCCCAAGGAAACGUGCCAACAGAAAGGUUGGGUUACCCACGCCUGUGUUGAUGGAAAUCCCGCAAUAAGGGGACACAAUCUCUUCUUUGAUAAGACGUGCCAAUAAAAACCGCCUCUCGGAACAUGGAGUGGCAGGUUAGAAAAUGAUUCAGAAUAAUGGUUGGGUGAUGACGUCAUGUCUUGCCACCAAGAUUGUCAGCGGUUUGGACUCGUGAAAUAUUAUAUUCUUUAUGGGUGCAUGAAUUCGUUUUGCAGAGCCGGACACGAUUCUUGUGUUCGGAAUUUACUUUGAAGUAUUCAGAGAUGGAACCCGCCUUGCAAUGUCAAAGACAAUCUGCGCGCCGCACUCAUCAUCAUUGAAGCCUGGUUCAGGGGCUACUGAGGGAGUCCUGGACUAAGGGGUCCUCGGACAGCCGGACUAUAUACUUUGGUCGGACUAUUGGACUAUGAAGAUACAAGAUAGAAGACUUCGUCCCGUGUCCGGAUGGGACUCUCCUUUCCGUGGAAGGCAAGCUUGGCGAUUCGGAUAUGUAGAUUCCUUUCUCUGUAACCGACUUUGUACAACCCUAGCCCCCCUCGGUGUCUAUAUAAACCGGAGGGUUUAGACUUCUAGGGUUUAGCAACAACGAUCAUAACCUCAUAGGCUAGACUUCUAGGGUUUAGCCAUUACGAUCUCGUGGUAGAUCAACUCUUGUAAUACUCAUAUUUUCAUCAAGAUCCAUCAAGCAGGAAGUAGGGUAUUACCUCCAUAGAGAGGGCCCGAACCUGGGUAAACAUUGUGUCCCCCGCCUCCUGUUACCAUUAGCCUUAGACGCACAGUUCGGGACCCCCUACCCGAGAUCCGCCGGUUUUGACACCGACAACAGGGGCUACGGAUUGAAGGAACAUUGGCUAAGGACGAGGUGAUGAUGCAUGUCGGAAAUGGUUCCAAGGUCGAUGUGAUCGCCGUUGGCACGCUACCUCUACAUCUACCUUCGGGAUUAGUUUUAGACCUGAACAAUUAUUAUUUGGUGCACGCGUUGAGCAUGAACAUUAUAUCUAGAUCUUGUUUAAUGUGAGACAGUUAUUCAUUUAAAUCAGAGAAUAAUGGUUAUUCUAUUUUUAUGAGUAAUAUCUUUUAUGGUCAUGCACCCUUGUUGAGUGGUCUAUUUUUGUUGAAUCUCAAUUGUAGUGAUACACAUGUUCAUAAUAUUGAAGCCAAAAGAUGCAAAGUUGAUAAUGAUAGUGCAACUUAUUUGUGGCACUGUCGUUUAGGUCAUAUUGGUGUAAAGCACAUGAAGAAACUCCAUGCUGAUGGGCUUUUGGGAUCACUUGAUUAUGAAUCACUUGGUGCUUGCGAACCAUGCCUCAUGGGCAAGAUGGCUUAACCUCCGUUCUCCAGAACUAUGGAACGAGCUACUGACUUAUUGGAAAUAAUACAUAAUGAUGUAUGCGGUCCGAUGAGUGUUGAGGCUCGUGGUGGUUAUCGUUAUUUUUUGACCUUCACAGAUGAUUUGAGCAGCUAUGGGUAUAUCUACUUAAUGAAACAUAAGUGUGAAACAUUUGAAAAGUUCAAAGAAUUUCAGACUGAAGUGGAAAAUCAUCAUAACAAGAAAAUAAAGUUUCUACGAUCUGAUCAUGGAGGCGAAUAUUUGAGCUACGAGUUUGGUCUUCAUUUGAAACAAUGUGGAAUAGUUUCGCAACUCACGCCACCUAGAACACCACAGCAUAAUGGUGUGUCCGAAUGUUGUAACAGUACUUUAUUGGAUAUGGCGUGAUCUAUGAUGUCUCUUACUGAUUUACCUCUAUCGUUUUGGGGUUAUGCUUUAGAGAUGGCUGCAUUCACGUUAAAUAGGGAACCAUCAAAAUUCGUUGAGACGACACCAUAUGAACUGUUGUUUGGCAAGAAACCCAAGUUGUCGUUUCUUAAAGUUUGGGGCUGCAAUGCUUAUGUGAAAAAGCUUCAACUUGAUAAGCUCGAACCAAAUCGGAGAAAUGCAUCUUCAUAGGAUACCCAAAGGAAACUGUUGGGUACACCUUCUAUCACAAAUCCAACGGCAAGAUAUUCGUUGCUAAGAAUGGAUCCUUUCUAGAGAGGGAGUUUCUCUCGAAAGAAGUGAGUGGGAGGAAAGUAGAACUUGAUGAGGUAAUUGUCCUGAAUUGGAAAGUAGUUUAUCACGGAAAUCAGUUCCAACCUACACCAAUUAGUGAGGAAGCUAAUGAUGAUGAUCAUGAAACUUCGGAUCAGAUUACUACCAAACCUCGUAGGUCAACCAGAGUAUGGUCCGCACCAGAGUGGUAUGGUAAUCCUAUUCUGGAAGUCAUGUUACUAGACCAUGAUGAACCUACAAACUUUGAGGAAGCGAUGAUGAGCCCAGAUUCCACGAAAUGGCUUGAGGCCAUGAAAUCUAAGAUGGGAUCCAUGUAUGGGAACAAAGUGUGGACUUUGGUGGACUUGCCCGAUGAUCGGCAAGCCAUAGAAAAUAAAUGGAUCUUCAAGAAGAAGACUGGCGCUGACGGUAAUGUUACUGUCUACAAAGCUUGACUUGUUGCAAAAGGUUUUCGACAAGUUCAUGGAGUUGACUAUGAUGAGAUCUUCACACCCGUGGCGAUGCUUAAGUCUGUCUGAAUCAUGUUAGCAAUUGCUGCAUUUUAUGAUUAUGAAAUUUGGCAAAUGGAGGUCAAAACUGCAUUCCUUAAUGGAUUUCUUAAAUAAGAGUUGUAUAUGAUGCAACCAAAAGGUUUUGUCGAUCCAAAAGGUGCUAACAAAAUGUGCAAACUCCAGUGAUCCAUUUAUCGAUUGGUGCAAGCCUCUCGGAGUUGGAAUAUACGCUUUGAUAAUGUGAUCAAAGCAUAUGGUUUAUACAGACUUUUGGAGAAGCCUGUAUUUACAAGAAAGUGAGUGGGAGCUCUGUAGCAUUUCUAAAAUAUUAUAUAUGGAUGACAUAUUGUUGAUUGGAAAUAAUACAGAAUUUCUGGAUAGCAUAAAAGGAUACUUGAAUAAAAAAAAUUCAAUGAAAGACCUCGGUGAAGCUACUUAUAUAUUGGGCAUCAAGAUCUAUAGAGAUAGAUCAAGACGCUUAAUUGGACUUUCACAAAGAACAUACCUUGAUAAAGUUUUGAAGAAGUUCGAAAUGGAUCAGUCAAAGAAAGGGUUCUUGCCUGUGUUACAAGGUGUGAAGUUGAGUCAGACUCAAUGCCCGACCACUGCAGAAGAUAGAGAGAAAAUGAAACUCAUUCCCUAUGCUUCAGCCAUAGGUCCUAUCAUGUAUGCAAUGUUGUGUACCAGACCUGAUGUGUGCCUUGCUAUAAGUUUAGCAGGGAGGUACCAAAGUAAUCCAGGAGUGGAUCACUGGACAACGGUCAAGAACAUCCUGAAAUACCUAAAAAUGACUAAGGAUAUGUUUCUCGUUUAUGGAGGUGACAAAGAGCUUGUCGUAAAUGGUUACAUCAAUGCAAGCUUUGACACUGAUCCGGAUGACUCUAUGUCGCAAAGCAGAUACGUAUUUAUAUUGAAUGGUGGAGUUGUCAGUUGGUGCAGUUCCAAGCCGAGCGUCGUGGCGGGAUCUACGUGUGAAGUGGAGUACAUAGCUGCUCCGGAAGCAGCAAAUGAAGGAGUCUGGAUGAAGGAGUUCAUAUCCGAUCUAGGUGUAAUACCUAGUGCAUCGGGUCCAAUGAAAAUCUUUUGUGACAAUACUGGUGCAAUUGCCUUGGCAAAGGAAUCCAAUUUCACAAGAGAAUCAAACACAUCAAAAGACGCUUCAAUUCCAUCCGCAAUCAAGUCAAGGAGGGAGACAUAGAGAUUUGCAAGAUACAUACGGAUCUGAAUGUUGCGGACCCGUUGACUAAGCCUCUUCCAUGUGCAAAACAUGAUCAACACCAAGACUCCAUGGGUGUUAGAAUCAUUACUAUGUAAUCUAGAUUAUUGACUCUGGUGCAAGUGGGAGACUGAAGGAAAUAUGCCCUAGAGGCAAUAAUAAAGUUGUUAUUUAUAUUUCCUUAUAUCAUGAUAAAUGUUUAUUAUUCAUGCUAGAAUUGUAUUAACCAGAAACUUAGUACAUGUGUGAAUACAUACACAAAACAAAGUGCCCCUAGUAUGCCUCUACUUGACUAGCUCGUUAAUCAAAGAUGGUUAUGUUUCCUGACCAUAGACAUGUGUUGUCAUUUGAUGAACGGGAUCACAUCAUUAGAGAAUGAUGUGAUGGACAAGUCCCAUCCGUUAGCUUAGCAUAACGAUCGUUAAGUUUUAUUGCUACUGCUCUCUUCAUGACUUAUACAUGUUCCUCUGACUAUGAGAUUAUGCAACUACCGAAUACCGGAGGAACACCUUGUGUGCUAUCAAACAUCACAACGUAACUGGGUGAUUAUAAAGAUGCUCUACAGGUGUCUCCGAAGGUGUUUGUUGGGUUGGCAUAGGUCGAGGUUAGGAUUUGUCACUCCGUGUAUCAGAGAGGUAUCUCUGGGCCCUCUCGGUAAUGCUCAUCACUAUAAGCCUUGCAAGCAAUGUGACUAAUGAGUUAGUUGCGGGAUGAAGCAUUACGGAAUGAGUAAAUAGACUUGCCGGUAAUGAUAUUGAACUAGGUAUGAAGAUAUCGACGAUCGAAUCUCGGGCAAGUAACAUACUGUCGGUGUCAAAACCGGCGGAUCUCGGGUAGGGGGUCCCAAACUAUGCGUCUAGGCGGAUGGUAACAGGAGACAAGGGACACGAUGUUUUACCCAGGUUCGGGCCCUCUUGAUGGAGGUAAAACCCUACGUCCUGCUUGAUUAAUAUUGAUGAUGUGUAUUACAAGAGUGGAUCUACCACGAGAUCAAGGAGGCUAAACCCUAGAAGCUAGCCUAUGGUAUGAUUGUUGUAAUGGAGGUUAUGUCCUACGGACUAAAGCCCUCCGGUUUAUAUAGACAUCGGAGAGGGCUAGGGUUACACAGAGUCGGUUACAAUGGUAGGAGAUCUACAUAUCCGUAUUGCCAAGCUUGCCUUCCACGCCAAGGAAAGUCCCAUCCGGACACGGGACAGAGUCUUCAAUCUUGUAUCUUCGUAGUCUUGGAGUCCGGCGGACGAUGAUAGUCCGGCUGUCCGGACACCCCCUAGUCCAGGACUCCCUCAGUAGCCCCUGAACCUGGCUUCAAUGACGAUGACUCCGGCACGCAUAAUGUUCGGCAUUGCAAGGCGGGUUCCUCCUGUGAAUAAUCCAGAGAAGAUUGUGAACACCAGGAUAGUGUCCGGCUCUGCAAAAUAAAUUCCACAUUCCACCAUAGAGAUAAUAAUAUAUACACAAGUUCAAUCUGCUGACGUAUCUUGUGGCAUGACGUCACACCACUACCAAGCCUUUACUUGAAUCAUUUUUUAUUAUACCACCUCAGUGCGUUUAGCGAAGCGGUUUCCUUGGCACGUCUUGUCGAAGCAGAGAUCGUGUUCCCCUUAUUCCGGGAUUCUCAUCAAUACGGACGUGGGUAACCCAACCGUGCCCGUCGCCACGCCUCCUCCAUCGAAGGUGAAUCCCAAACGGUCACGGAGACGGCUCUUGGUAUUCCCCUUCUUUAUAACAGGACCAAGGCUCGUUCUUUUCUUCAAUCUUCCACCGAAUCUUCUCCUUGCUCCAAGUUCCAACACCCAGAGCCCCAGAUUCAAGCGCUUCGGACCAUCAACAAUGUCCGGCUCCGACCUCCAGGGCCGGUGGAUGCCCUCCUCCGUUACGGAGGAGGACGUGCUAAAGCUGCGAGAAGCCAAGUACCUGUCCUACGAGAUCUCGCAUAGGCUGCCCGCCGAAGGGCAGGCCAUCCCUACCCCCGAGCCCGGAGAAUAUGUCGUCUUUGUAUCCCACCUCCGUCGGGGCCUAGGCUUCCCGACGGAUCGUUUUGUGAGAGGGCUCUUGUUCUACUACGGGUUGGAAUUCCACGACUUGGCUCCGGAGUCCAUCCUCCAUAUCUCCGCAUUCAUCGUUGUUUGCGAAGCCUUCCUCCGCGUCACCCCCCACUUUGGCCUGUGGCUGAAGAACUUCAAUGUGGAGCCGAAGAUGGUCGGGGGGCGUCGAGCUGAAUGCGGCGGGGCGGCCAUAAACAGGAGGGCUGAUGCCCCGUGGCUGGAGGGCUCCUUCCAAGAGGAGCUCGGCUUAUGGCAGCAGGAGUGGUUCUAUAUCACCGCUCCGAGGGGCAGCAGGCAGAAGCCGCCACCUCCGUUUCGCUCGGGACCUCCACGACGGUUGAUGUCGUGGGUCAACCAAGGGCUCAAUUGGGGGCCGUCAAAAGACGUGCCCCUAUUGCAGGGCCGAAUUCGAGACCUCCAAGCGAGGGAGAUCGAUCUGGUCGUGGUGAUGCAGGUUAUGCUAAUUAGGCGUCUCCUGCCCUGCAAACGCUGUCCUCUCCGGCUAUGGGAGUUCAAUCCGGAGGGACCAUGGAUUCUCCAACACUUCAUGGGUACGACACCCGUGGAGAUGUACAAGUUGUUCUUCGGACCACAAGUGGCGUGUCCGGAAUUGACCGAGGAUUCCGGCCUAAGCUGCAAUCGCCCGGAUACUCAAGUAAGUAGCUCAGUGUUUGGACGUACCAUUUGUUUGCCCUUCUUCGAUUCGCCUUUUAACCCAUUAUCCUUCAGUAGGAGUGGAUAGCGCAAGCAAAGCUGAUACGGUGUCCGGCCCCCCUCCCAGAGACCGCGCCGGAGCCCGUGCUGGUCAGAAUGUUGGAGGUUGCGCCUUCAGAAGAAGGCGAGGGGGAAAAUAGAGGAGCUACCGUCCCGCCCAAAGGGGUGCUUGAAGAAGGGGGGAUCGAGAAUCCCUCCCUCCAGGGGGAGAAGAGGACCACCUCCGAAGACCCGAAGGCCAAAGCACCUAAGCGGGGGAAGAAAUCUUCGCCGGAGGGUCCUGCGUCCGGGGAGGCCCCGGCCGCACCGUAUUCUCUAAAGAAUCAGCCCUCUAGUGAGCCGUGAGUAAAGGAAAAGGGGAGUUCAUUAAUAAGAAACAUCCCUUAUUUGUGCUUCUGAGGAUAACCGAAAUUGUUACCUUGUAGUUCGGAUCUGCGGCCCUCUCAGAUCAGCUCGGGGAUCUUCGUCCGGAGAUGAUGGAGAGCGAGACGCCUCCGUCUGCUGCGCCGUUGGAUAUGGCGGACAAGCCUGAAGUGUCGUCACGGAGGGUAUCCCCGAGCCCGGCAGAGCCGAAGAGUUCGGCGCCGACAAGUGUUCGGCCGGGGGAGCUGAAGGAUCUGCUUGAGAGGGCGUCCGUCUCAGAAGAUCACUGCGCAUUGAUGCGCAUGGUGAUUGGAAGGAUUUCGUCCGCCGAAAGCGGAUUGCACAGUGCCAUCCGGAGUUUGCUGGCGGGGUUUAAGGUUCGUAAAAACGACGCGCCUUUUUGAUAGUUUUGCACAUAAAAGUGCGCCCUGUAUAAAUAGUAGCCCCUGAGACUCGGUAGGUUGUCGAAAGCGACAACGUGCCGAGGAUCAAAAUCUUAGGUAUUGAAUGUCGCCCUUCCUAUGCAGGUGGCGGAUAGUCCGGGGGCUAGCCGGACUGAUGGGGUUGCCGAAUUAAUGCGGCAACUCGAUGUGGCAGAUGCAGACAUCGGGCUAGUCAACAAGCGACUUGACGAGUCGCAAGGUAAAUUGGUUUUCCGCAGUCAACUAUUAAGGGAGAGAAAGUCCACCUCUUACAAUAUUUAUGCUUGACGCAGAUGGUGCUGCUGCUGUGGAGAGCCUUCGGGCAGAACUUGCUCAAGCCAAGGAGCAGGCCAGAAGGAGUGAUGCGGCUGCCUCGAGGGCGGCCGAGGAGUUAGAAGCCGAAAGGGCUGCACACUGCCGAAGCAGGGAAGAGAUGGCCGAAUUGGCCGUUAAAUUGAAGGAUGCUACCGACCGCAAUGAGGCUCUUGGAAAGGAGCGUCCGUCGGAGCGAGAAGACCUCGUGAAGGCCACCGCCGAAGCUAAGGAUGCCCGUUCUGCAAUGCGGGCUAUGAAGGAGGAGCUGCGUCAGCUGGAGACAUUGUGGCUGGCAAGCCUUUUCUGCUACGCCGCAGGUUUACGGAUCCAAAGUAUGUCCAGCUUAUCCAGCUGUGGGGUCCAGAGGAUCCAUAUAUGGACUUAGCGGCGAGUGCGGCAGAUGCCGUUGUGCACUUCCGAAGCCAGAAGGAUCACCAGACGGAAGAGCUAUUUUGUUCUUAAUUCCAUAGUCCGGAUCGCUCACUUCCGCCGACCGAUCGGUUGGCCGAAUGGGCUGAACUGAAUAGGUUGUCCGGACUUGCCAUGACGGAUAUCGUGACUCAUGUCUGGCCGGAGAGGCCCAAGCUUACGAGCUAUUUUGGCUUAUUGCAGCAGUUUCUUGGGGCGGUGCCGCAUAUCAAGGAGAUGAAGUGGUCGGCCUGUAUAGAGGGUGCGCGGAUGGCCCUUGCCCGUGUGAAGACCCAGGGUUCGGACGAAAGUCGGUUACCCGCCGAGCACUAUUUUGGGGAAGUUAUGCGUGGUGCUCGUGUAAUAGAGUCGCAGUGCUCGAAAAAUGUCACGUUCAAAUGAACGUUUGUAAGACAAUGGUUAUGAUGUAAUCGCUUUUUAUACUUGUGCGUUCCAAGUAUUGAAAUAUCUCCUAUGCGGCCGUUUAUGUAUACAUGUGUAUAACCUGAAAGAUGGCAGUCUUCGGCUUCAGCCCCCACGCACAAGGUGCGGGGGUGUUCGCAAAAAUAGCGCGUUUUCACACUUAAUCCGACGUCUCGGUCCUGUUGAGGAGGUGGUAGCGUAGCGAACGAGGCAAUCCGGACUAUGAUGCUUUAUCACUUUCACUUAGCCAUUGGAGUUCGAGGGUGGGGCUAUGAUAUAGCCCCUGGGGGCACCACGCUCUCCGAAUUCGGGGCGCGUGUGUGCCUGACCGGGAAACGGUCCUUCAUUAAAGCGGGGGAAUUCUAAACAUUCCGGUUGUCGAUCGAGUGGUUGACCAGUCUCUCGCUAUAUCAUGACAGUCAAUUUUCGGCUUUCUCUACUGAGGUGCUCGCCCAGCCAAACUGGGGCACAAUCGCAGUAGUUCUCCUGGUGCCGCGUUAGCCGAUGAUACGGAACGUAAGGCAGCAAAACACAGGAGCCGGGCAAACCCAACAUUUGACCAAAGACAUGAUUCGGAGCUGAUGCAUAUAAGGCCUAACUCGAGACGCCGAACACUCCCUAAGGUGUUCGGUCUUUAUAAUAAUGGGCAGAACAAUGCCCUAAGCCCCUAGUGUCCAGGUACGGGCAAGGUCAUCUGACGCGGCUGAUGCCAAAACGUCAGGCUCCACGCUGGUUAUAAUGAGAAGCCAAGGGAUUGUAGCAACAAGAGACAGUAAAAAAGGUUUACGCAUGGUCUUAAUCUGAAAAGAAUCCUUGCAACGGGUCCCUACUGCACGUCUGCGCCUGUGUCUCCGUUGUGCCGUUAUCCUGGACGGGUGUGCACGUCGUUCAUCUGUAAAAAGAGAGGAACAUAGCUUGAAAGGAAAUCAUGCAAAAAAAGGUGUAUGAAAAAUAUUAAUAAGUAGAGCAGAGUCUAUAUUAGCUCAUUGUUGCUUAUACGCGCAACCCCUUGUAGAGAGGUGUGCAGCUAGGGAGCCCCUAGCUUAUUUGUGCCGGACUCGUCUAUCCGUGUCCGGGGUCUUUAAGUGACCCUCACAAUGAAAUGAUGCCACGUGGACCGGGCAGUUUAAGUGUAAGAGACGCGUAAUGUGGUAUAGCGUUGAAGCGGACAAAAGCUUCACGUCCCAGUAGUGCUUGAUAGCCACUUUUGAACGGGGCGACAUGAAAGAUUAGUUUUUCGCGUCGGAAGUUGUUCGGUGACCCGAACACUACUUCUAGUAAUAAGGAGCCUGUGCUUUUGGCGUAAGGGCCUGGCAUCACUCCUUUAAAGGGAGUGCGGCUAUGUCGAAUUUUAGUAAGGUCCAUCCCCAACUGGCGGAUUGUGUUUGGAUAUAGCAGGUUUAAAUCGCUGCCUCCGUCCAUCAGGACUUGUGUAAAUUGUAGUCCGUCGAUUAUACGAUCCAAUAUCAGAGCAAUCCAUCCUGCAUUGCGAACACUUCUGGAAUAAUCCAGGUGGUCAAACAUGAUUGGUUUUGACAUCCAAUCUCGAGGUUCCGCUGGGGUGGAUCGUGCGAGACCCAUCUUAGCGGGUGCCGCAUUGUUUUUCCGUAUCGUCACAUGAAGUGAGUUUACUGCUUUGACUUCCUGUGGGAAAGUCUUUUGUUUUCCGGUGCUCUGCUGGUGGGGUUUCUCAUCAUCUUCGCUUGAUGCGUCGAGCCCCUUGUGUUCGGCGUUGAGUCGGCCGGACUGUUUGAAAACCCAGCAAUCUCGGUGGGUGUGAUUUGCAGGCCUUCCGGGGGUACUGUGGAUUUGACAUAUCCGAUCCAAAAUUUUGUUAAGUUGGAUAGCUCAUCACUGUUAUCCUUAAGAGGCAGUGUUUUGUUGUUUGGCCUCGAGCUUUUGAAUCCGGCGUUGACCGCCGUAUUCUUUGGGCUUUUUUCUUUAUUCCGGCGCUAAUCCUUUCUGCGCCGUGAUUUUCCGUUUCCAUCUCUAGUCUCGGAUGUACUCGGGUCGCUGGUGCUGCAUCUUGCUAGCCAGCUAUCUUCCCCCGCGCAAAAGCGGGUCAUAAGGCUUGUUAGCGCGGACAUUGUCCUCGGCUUCUCUUGGCUGAGGUGUCUGGCGAGCCAUUCGUCUCGGACGUUGUGUUUAAAAGCUGCUAAGGCUUCGGCGUCCGGACAGUCGACUAUUUGGUUCUUUUUAGUGAGGAACCUGUUCCAGAAUUUGCGCGCUAACUCUCCGGGCUGUUGAGUUAUAUGACUUAGAUCGUCUGCAUCCGGAGGGCGGACAUAAGUCCCUUGAAAAUUUGCUCUGAACGCGUCCUCGAGCUCUUCCCAACUUCCAACAGUGUUUUCUGGGAGGCUUUUGAGCCAGUGUCGAGCUGGCCCUUUGAGCUUGAGGGGUAGAUAUUUUAUGGCGUGGAGAUCAUCUCCGCUAGUCAUAUGUAUGUGUAGUAUGUAAUCCUCUAUCCAGACUCCAGGGUCUCUUGUUCCGUCGUAAGCCUCUAUGUUUAUGGGUUUAAACCCUGCUGGGAAUUCAUGAUCCAGCACCUCAUUGGUGAAACAUAGUGGGUGUGCGGCGCCCCUGUAUUUGGGUGUGCCGUUGUCUUCGAACACUUGGCGUGUUGUGCUGCUUCCUGGGGCCCUCUUUUUUGGCCCGUAAAUGGACCUGGCUGGGCCAUCUGUUUUCCCAGGGUCACGAGUUGGCUUAUGUGCGGCGCCACUUGUAGAUUUUGGCCUAUCUUCUGGUCGUCUAUCCGGCCAGGCGGCCUCUUUGCUUUUUGACUGUGGGGGCUCUAUGGCUUCCUCGUCAAAUUCUGGCAGCAGCUUGCGCUUCGGGUAGCUCUUUGAUUGAUGGUCAUUGCCAUAUUUGUCUGCGGUCUUCAGUACUUUGCUCCACCUCAUUCUGAGUAUGUCUUCCGCUGUUUUGAGCUUCCGUUUUUCCUUCUUCAAGCUUCUUGCGGUGGCGACGAGUCUUUCGUUAAGGUUUUUAUGCUCCGGUGGUAUGUCCGGCGUGAGGUCGUCCGGACUGUUGGUUUCGCCGGGAUUGGAUUGAUUAUCCGAUUCGUCCUAUUCGGUUGGUUGCUUGGUUGCAUGUUCGCCGUCCACCGAUUUGCCCUGCUCUAACGCUGGGUCAUUGGGAAUGCUGUCUUUGCCGAGGCGGGGCUUGGGCGGCGCUUACGUCGCCGUUUUGGUUGUUUAUCGGCGGGAUUAUCCUUUGUCGUGCCCCAUUGUUCCUCGUCGUCGCUUCCUUUUGGGGUAUCCACCAUAUAUACUUCAUAUGCUGGAGUGUUCUUCCAGUGCCCUGUAGGCGCUGGUUCCUGUUCGUCUCCGGCAUCGUCGUCCAUACCGUCGAUGUCUUCGGAGUCAUAGUCUAGCAUGUCGGUUAGAUCGUCGACAGUGGCUACAAAGUGGGCGGUGGGUGGGCUCUGAAUUUCUUCGUCGUCCGCAUCCCAACCCUCCUGGCCAUAGUCCGGCCAGGUCUCUCCGGAUAGCGAGAGAUGCUUUAGUGAAUUUAGGAUGUCGCCGAAGGGCGAGUGCUGAAAGAUGUCCGCCGCGGUGAACUCCGUGAUCGGUGCCCAAUCGGAUUCGAUCGGCAGGGGCGCAAGAGGUCCGGAGUCCGACAGGGAGUCCGGCGCCUCGAAGUCACGAGCUUUCUGGGGGACAAGGUCAGAGUUCGGCUCCAUCACCGUGGAAGUUGCAGCCCCCGAGGCGGUGUUCAGCCACCGGUCCUCGAUCUGGGCGAUCGGCUCCGGACUGAGAGCCGAAGCGGAUUCGUAUGCGGCCACCAAGGCACUGUCCGGCGGCAGAGCUAAAUCAUGCCCAUCGUGGCAGCGCGGCACGCUCGGUUGUGGCUCGGGUACAUCAAAGAUCAAGUCCCCGCUGAUGUCGGCCGUGAAGUUUAGGCUUCCGAACCUGACCUGAUGGCCAGGGGCAUAGCUUUCGAUCUGCUCCAGAUGGCCAAGAGAGUUGGCCUGUGUAAGUGCAUCUAGUGCCCCUUAGUGAUUUUGGUGGAUUGAAGACUUAUAGCUUAAGUGACUGAUACGUUUGUGAGUGUACACAAGUCUAUAAGUCUAUAAGGAGUUUGAUAUUUACAGAGAAAGUCGACCCCUAAAAAUGAAGUUCUUCGACUGAAGACUUUGAUAUUCUGAAGACUUUCUGAAGACUUUGAAAGUGAAGAAAUUGGUGUGACCUUGAAGACUUGGUAUUCACUUGAGGAACAUGAAGCGUGAAGACUUUUGUUUUCGUAGUUUCAUUUUCUCUUUCUUGAGUCAUAGGAAACACCGUACUGUUAAAGGGGGUCGAGGAAAUACUAAAGAAAAAUUUCCAUGUGAUGCUCAACUCAAAAUCCUACACCUACCAAUCCCUUCGAGUGAAGCCAUUGGAAAUCUCAUACAGUUCAGUCAAUUUCUUCAGUGACAGAGACGCAGUUCUUCUGGUCACUGAGGACUUUGCUCUAACUGAGGAGUUAGGAAUUCGCCAGUGCGAAUUGCCUACACAGUGAGGAACAUGAUAGCCCUGAGGAAUUUGAGAGUCAAAUUUCUGACCGUUGCUGUGCUGCGCGCCGGCUGUCCAAAAUAUCUUAUCCAUCUAAUGGUCAUAUCAUUGAAGGGCAUUUAUGUCUUAUCAUGUCGGGCUGCUCCCUAGGCUAUAAAUAGCCGCCCCCUACAACCACUAGUUGGUUGGCUGCUCCGAGAGAACUUGACACUUGUCAUCUGAGAGCAACCCAUCCUCCGAGGACUUUGAGCGAAAAUCAUCAAGUGAGGAAAACCCAAAACCAAACCCCCACAAACCCAAAGUGAUUGAGCAUCACUGAAGAAAUUGAUCCUGCGUGGAUCCGACGCUUGUUACCUUUGAAGACUGUGCUUCUUCCAGACGGUUAGGCGUCAAGGUCUAGAGCAUCCAAGAGGAAUUGUGGAUCGCCGAGUGACCAAGUCUGUGAAGGUUUGGAAGUCACCUGAAGACUUACCACGAGUGAUUGGAUGAGGCCUGCAUGGUCUUAGUUCAAGGAGAAUACGGUGAGGACUGGGUGUCCUGAGUUGCGGCUCAGAGACUGGGUGUCCGGGACUGUGUGUCCUCGAGUUUAAAUACUCAGCUGCUCCAACCAGACGUACAACUAAGACAGCAGUUGGAACUGGUUUACCCAAUCAUUAUCUUCACCAACUAACUGGUUCUAUUUCCUCAACUCUUUCAUUUCCUCAUUACUGUGUUGUAUGUUGUUCAUAUCUGUGCUUGAAGACUUUGACUGAAGACUUUCACAAAUUCCUCAGUUCAAUUUCUUCAGUCUGUUUGUCUUCAUCUUGUUAUCCUGUGUUUACGCUUUCUGUACUCUGUGCUAGUCUUCAUUUCAUCAUGAUGACUAUGUUUGUAUCCUGUUAUGUUUACUUCUGAGUACUUAUUCCGCUGCAAGUAGUUCUUCGCUAAGGAAUUUCCUCACCAGCAAAUUCCUUAGUGAAGAAUUCAUAAAAAUCGCCUAUUCACCCCCCCUCUAGUCGAUAUAACGCACUUUCAAUUGGUAUCAGAGCAAGGUACUCCCUUGUUCUGUGUGAUUUUGGUUUAACCGCCUGGAGUUUUAGUUAUAUUGACUGCAGGUAUGAUCAAGGUCUUGGCUGGGUGUCCCACCUUUGAUGGAACGGACUACCCCUACUAGAAGAACAAGAUGCGAAUGCAUCUUGAGGCAAUUGAUAACGAUCUCUGGUAUGUUGUGGAAAAUGGUGUCCCCUCUGUCACUCCCCCACUGAACGCUACCGAUGUGAAGAGAUUCAAACAACUCGAUUCUCAAGCGAAGAAUAUCAUAUGUGGCCAUCUGAGCAAAGGACAGUAUGGAAGAGUGAGUGCUUUGGAAACUGCUAAGCUUAUCUGGGAUAGGCUGUCCAAAGUAAAUGAAGGAGUUUCAACUCAGCGUGACUCUCGAGUCGAUGUUCUUCGGAAUCUCUUCAACCACUUCAAAAGACUCGACAAUGAGAAUGUCCAACAAACCUUUGAUCGCCUCACUGACAUCUCAAAUGAGCUUCAAGCCCUCGGUGCCACUGACAUCACUGAUCAUGAAGUUGUGAAGAAACUAUUGAGAUCGCUUGAUUCCUCAUUUGAUACUCUGGGACUGAUGAUACAAGAACGUGCUGACUACAAGUCGCUUGAUCCUGCUGAUAUCCUCGAAAGGCUAAACACUCACGAGUUCCAGCUUGCUGAAAAGAGAGAUCUCUAUGGUUCAAACUAUGGCAAACCACGUGCCCUGAAGGCCAAGGCUGUGUCUGACUCUGAAUAUGAGGACUCUGGUAGUAGCCUUGGUGAUCCUGAAGAACUGAGCCAGGAUCUAGCACUGCUUGUGAAGAAAUUCCAGAAGUUCACAAGACGUGGUCGCUUUGGAAAAUCCUCAAGAGGCAAUGAUUCCUCAUCCAGUGACUAUAAGAGAAGGCUUUGCCACAAAUGCAAGAAGCCUGGUCACUAUAUUCAAGAUUGUCCUCAGUGGGAAAAGGAAAUGAAGAAGAAGAAAUACAAGGACUACAGUUUUGAUGAUGCGAAGAAGAAGAAGAAAUCGUCAAAAUCUUCGUCAUCAAAAUCCUCGAAGUCUUCAUCUCACAAGAAGAGCAGCUCCAAGAAGGCUCGGGCAUUCAUUGGCAAGGAGAUGGACUCUGAAGCUGAAUCUGAGGAAAAUGAUGAAGAGGAGGCAUCUGAAGAAUCUGAGUCUGGUGUGGCGAGUCUGGCCGUUGCUACUGCCUUCGUCAGCAAGUCCAUCUUCAACACUGAAGAAACUGACUCCACCGACAAGCCUGAUGAAGAUAAUGAUGGCUACGCUCCCACCUAUUGCUUCAUGGCAAAAGGUGCUAAGGUACUCAAAUACAACUCCUCUGAAUCUAGUGAAAAUGAAUCUGAUGAGGAUCUCAAGCCUAGCUACUCUAAACUUGCUAAGAUUGCUUGAAACAACAACGGGCUCUUGAAAAGGUUCAAAACAUGCUAGACAAAAGUGACGAUAUGUUGGGUGAAGAAAUGGAUCGCACUAAAGCCUUGACUGAAAAUCUUCAGAGACUUCAGUCUAGGUUUCAUAACCUUCAAGGUCAUCAUAACGCUCUCUUGUCUGAUCAUGAGAAACUUUCUUAUGAAUUUCUUCAAGAAAAGCAAGAUCACGAGAAGCUUUCUCUUGAAUCUCUUCAAAGAAAGGAAGAUCUUGAAAAGCUAAGAGUGUGUUAUGAAGAUCUUCAGAAGGAGCGUGAUUCAUUACUAGCUCAACAAAUCAGCGCUUCUCAGGAAGAAUUUGUCCCCCAUGCUUAAAGUGCAUUGAACGUGAAUCUGCUAAUUCUUCACCUGAAUGUUCAAAUGCUUCAACUGUUACAAAUUCCUCAUCUGCCUCUGCUAUCACUAAUUCCUCACCUGAGGACAUUGCUAGCUUCACUGACAAUGCAGGGCUGAAGGAACUGUACAUGACAGGCAUGUACAAAAGCCCCAAAGGGCAUCAGACACUUUGUGAUGUGCUCAAAAGGCAGAUCCUCAACAGAAACCCUAGGAAAGAGGGUAUUGCCUUUGAGAGGAAACUCAAUGCUGAUGGAACAUAUUGGAAGCCUGAGCAGUACCCCAAAACCUCAUGGGUUGCUGCAAAGGGACCUCCAGUUGAUCCAUCUAACUUAUCUGGCUUUACAUGUGAAUCUCCUCAUUCUUCUGAUAAGUCAUUUGACUCCAACUAUAAAUUGUUCAAAAAUCAGAAUGGUGAAGUAUUUGCUAGAUAUGUUGGCACUAACUACAGGAACGGUUCCCCUAUGAAGAAAAUCUGGGUUCCCAAAAGCUAUGUUGAAAGUCUUCAGGUGAAUGUCCUCAUGACACCACCUGUGAAGAAUAGGAACCCCAGAUCAAAUUCUUCAUAUGGACCAAAUUCUUCACAUGGAUCAAAUUCCUCAACUGGAUCAAAGUCCUCAUAUGAUUAUCAUCGUGCUAACAACUCUGUCUCGCAGGGUAGAGCUAAGGGCUAUGAAUAUGUGCAUUAUUCUUCAAACCAUUAUGUUCAUAAGUCCUCGAAGAAUUACUCUGCUUAUUCAUAUGCUUGCCCUAACCCCUCUUAUGUGAAACGAAACGGUUUGGCUUCUUUGCCACCUUUCUCAUAUGGUGCUCGUAGAAUGAUGAACUCUUUGCCACCCCUCCAGAUGUGGGUGGUGAAGAAAAAGAACUAAUCUCUUCUGUAGGGUCAGGUCUCCAGACGUGCUUUAACGUCUGAAGAAUUUGCUGGGGACCUGACGAAAAUGCCUGAAGGGACGCAGGCGAAUCAUGAUGAAAUGAACUUUCAUUUCACACGUCCUCAUACUGCUAUAUCUGUUUACUGCUUGAUGAAAUUCAUCUGAUGAACUUGAUAUCAUAUUCUUCACUGAUGAAGCAUAUGAGAUUGUAAGUUACACUAAUUCAUCUGCAGGAUGAUCAACCCAAAGCCACUGAAUGGGUCCUCGAUAGUGGAUGUACAAAUCACAUGACUGGUGACAAGAAUUUAUUGAUGGAUGCUCCCUUAUCACCGUCACCUCUGAAGCAUAUCAUCUUUGCUGACAAAGGCAAAAGUCGGGUAUUGGGUCUUGGUAAGGUUGCUAUCUCUAAGGAUAAGCACAUGGACAAAGUCAUGCUUGUUGAGUCCUUAGGAUACAAUCUCAUGUCAGUCUCAAUGCUUUGUGAUCUUGAUAUGGUUGUUGUCUUUGGCAAAUAUCGCUGUGUUGUGAUUAUGGAAGCUGACAAUUCCAAAGUCUUCGAAGGCUUUAGGAGAGGAGAUCUGUAUAUUGUUGAUUUCUCUACAGGACCACAACCAGCCAUGUGUCUACUUGCAAAAGCUUCAGAAGGCUGGCUAUGGCAUCGACGACUUGGUCACGCAGGCAUGAGGAAUUUGAACACGCUUGCGAAGAAGAAGCAUGUCAUUGGCAUUGAGAAUGUCAAAUUCCUCAAGGAUCACUUAUGCGGAGCCUGUGAAGCUGGAAAAAUGACCAAGGCCAAGCAUCCAGCGAAGACUAUCAUGACCACUACCCGUCCAUUCGAAUUGCUUCACAUGGACCUCUUCGGACCUAAUCAUUACUCAACUGUCACUAAUGAUGCAUCUCUAUAUGGUUUUGUCAUUGUUGAUGAUUAUUCUCGAUAUACAUGGGUACACAUUGUUACUUACAAACAUGAAGUGCAGGAAGUCUUCAAACGAUUUUCCUCGAGGGCUUCAACCAACUUUGGUGUGAAGAUCAAGCAUAUCAGAAGUGACAAUGGAACUGAGUUCAAGAAUUCCGGUCUUGAUGCAUAUCUUGAUGAACUUGGUAUUACUCAUGAGUUAUCUGCUCCCUAUACUCCUCAGCAGAAUGGCGUCGUGGAGCGCAAGAACAGAACUCUUGUUGAGAUGGCUCGCACUAUGCUUGAUGAAUACAAAACGCCUCAGCGUUUUUGGAUUGAUGCAAUUGAUACUGCUUGCCACAUCAUCAACAGAGUGUAUCUUCACAAAUUCUUCAAGAAGACUGCCUAUGAACUCCUCACUGACAAGAAACCCACAUGAAGGUUUUAUGCUUGGUUACGGAAAGGACUCGCACACCUACAGAGUCUUCAACAUUGUUCUUCACAAGAUUGUUGACACUGUAGAUGUGCGGUUCGAUGAAACUAAUGGCUCGCAAAGAGAGCACCUACCUUCUGUGUUAGAUGAACCAGCACCUAAAGAUGCUAUCAAGCUCAAGGCAACUAAGGAUGUCAUUCCGACUGAAGAAUCUGCUAAAGAAUUCAUUCCUGUUCAUGAAGAACGUCGAGCUGAUGCACCUGAAGAACAUGAUGAGGAAAAUGGUGCUGAAGAAAAUGUUGAUCAAAAUCCUCAGCGACAACCAACUCAUCCACGCAUUGCAAAAGAAGUGCAAGUGGAGAAGAUCAUCGAUGACAUCAGCGCACCAGGUCCUCUCACACGCUCAAAACCAUCACAUUUAUCUAACUUUUGUGGGCACUAUGCUUUUGUCUCUAUCACAGAGCCCACUAAGGUAGAUGAAGCAUUUCUGGAGCCGGAGUGGAUUCAGGCUAUGCAAGAAGAAUUACAUCAGUUCGAGCUGAAAAAUGUCUGGGAAUUGGUCAAUCGCCCAGAUCCUCGCAAGCAUAAUAUCAUUGGCACAAAGUGGAUCUACCGCAACAAGCAAGAUGAAAAUGGCCUUGUGGUGAGGAAUAAGGCACGACUAGUAGCUCAAGGCUACACACAGGUUGAAGGAAUUGAUUUCAAUGAAACUUUUGCACCUGUUGCUAGACUUGAGGCUAUUUGCAUAUUACUUGCUUACGCUAACCAUCAUGAUAUCAUCUUAUAUCAAAUGGAUGUGAAAAGUGAAUUCCUCAAUGGUAAGCUUGAGGAAGAAGUAUAUGUUGCUCAACCCCCAGGUUUUGAAGAUCCCAAGAAUCCUGACAAAGUCUUCAGACUCAAUAAGGCCCUCUAUGGCCUCAAGCAAGCCCCUCGGGCGUGGUAUGAUACAUUGAAGGAAUUCUUUGUGAAGAAUGGCUUCACACCCGGUUCACUCGACCCUACUCUUUUUACUAAAUCAUAUGAUGGUGAACUGUUUGUGUGCCAAAUAUAUGUUGAUGAUAUUAUCUUUGGUUGUACUGACCAACGUUAUAGUGAUGAAUUUGCCUAUAUGAUGAGUGAAGAAUAUCAAAUGUCUAUGAUGGGAGAAUUGUAAUUCUUCUUAGGUCUUCAAAUUCGUCAGCAGCGCAAUGGCAUAUUCAUAUCUCAGGAGAAAUACCUCAAAGAUGUAUUGAAGAAAUUCGGCAUGCAAGAUUGCAAAGGCGUCAAAAUUCCUAUGCCCACAAAUGGCCAUCUAUGCACUGAUGAAAAUGGUAUUGACUUUGAUCACAAGGUAUACCGCUCCAUGAUUGGUUCCUUAUUGUACUUAUGUGCAUCUAGGCCAGAUAUAAUGCUUAGUGUUUGCAUGUGUGCCUGAUUUCAAGCUGCACCGAAGGAAUCACACCAUAAGGCUGUGAAGCAUAUUCUUCGAUAUCUAGCUCACACACCAACACUAGGAUUAUGGUACCCCAAGGGCUCUGCUUUUGAUCUCAUUGGAUAUUCUGACUCUGACUAUGCUGGUGAUCGUGUGGACCGCAAGUCAACAUCCGGCACGUGCCAUUUCCUCGGACGAUCUUUGGUCUGUUGGUCCUCGAAGAAACAGAACUGCGUAUCACUGUCUACUGCUGAAGCUGAAUACAUUGCUGCUGGCUCAUGCUGUGCUCAACUGCUUUGGAUGAAGCAAACCCUCAAGGACUAUGGCGUCAACGUGAAGAAUGUGCCUCUCCUCUGCGACAAUGAGAGUGCCAUCAAGAUUGCUCACAACCCAGUUCAGCACUCGAAGACAAAGCACAUCCAGAUUCGUCAUCAUUUUCUUCGUGAUCAUGUGUUGAAGGGCGACAUCUCCAUCGAGCAUGUGAAGACUGAAGAACAGCUAGCUGAUAUCUUCACUAAGCCCUUGGACGAGAAGAGAUUUAGCAAGUUGCGGUGUGAGCUAAAUAUCUUAGAAUCUUCGAAUGUUCUUUGAAAAGGACACACAUCCUAACCCUUAUGCAGAAUUGAUGACUUAGAUGUGCAACACAUGAAGAAACGUUUUUCUUCAAUCAAUGAAGAAUAACACUCUAAGUGUGAAGAAAUUAAUGAAGAAUUUGAUUCUCAGAACUCUACGACAAUUGUACGCGGUGUCUAAAAUCAUCAUUCUUAUACGGUGGGUUACGCCACCACAAAAGUUGAAAAUCUUCAAUUUGAGUUUUUCCUCAUUUUUGAAAUUCUUCAGUUUUUCAAAUUCUUCAACUUUGCAAAAUCUUCACUGGUUCCGUCGUUUUUCUUCAUUGGGUAUAUAUAUAUCUAUGAGUUUAUGUCCUCUACAGCAUUCACUUAUUGCUAUUUCUUCAAGUUGUUAUUUCUGCUAAGUGAAUGUGAUUGGACCCUUCCCCCUCUAUGCUAGACUCAACCCAAUCUAUUCACAAAUUCUUCAUGUGCGUUCUGAUUGAAACUCGUUCAAAGUCUUCACUGUGUCCUUGUCAGCUGAAGAAAUUGCGAAUGAAACUUUAAAACAAAUCUUAUCCAGAUUUUCGGUUUUACCACUCAAACCGUUCUGCAUCCCACGAUGCAUUAUUUUAUUCACCCACGAUCUUACACGAUCUCAUCUGCACAGUAUGUGGGUGACACAUGUCGCAUGAAGAAGAAAGGGCAGGGGCAUGUUCGUCCCAAAAUCUUCGGGCGAACAGUUUUUACCGUGGCUAUAAAUACCCCUCUCCCCUUCCUUACUUCAUUUACUCCGCUCGGUCGCUGUCUCUCGCUCGAGCUCACCUCAAACCCUAGCGCCGCCGCUACUCCAUCGCCGUCGGUGAGGAAGAGCUUCACUGCCUCGACCUCGUCGCCGUCGUACUCGCGCCGGCUGCGGAAAUCUUCACUCCGCUGCCGCCGUAGCUGUCUCCCUCUGCCAAGUUAGGGCGUGGGAGAUCUAACUUGACGAACUUCACCGUUGUUCAUCUCUGUUCGCCGUGUUCUUCAGUUCAGGUAAUUAAAAGUCACUUUUAUUACUCGCUUUGAUUCUCAAACUUUUCUGAAAAUCUUCAAAGGUGUUUUAUUCUUAAAAUCUUCACAUAUGAACAUCUCACACACUGUAUGCUCUUGAUCCAUCUCUAUAAGCACUCAUUUCUUCAAGAUUCCUCAAUUGUGCGGAUUUUGGAUCUGUACAACUCUGGAACCUAAGACAAGAACGCUUAGUGAAAUUCCUCAAGGCUCAACUGGUCAAAUUCCUCAAAACUUGUCUUUUCGAAAAAUCUUCUGAGAACGCAUAUGACCUCUCCAAAUUCCUCGCACCUACACUCUGUUCACAGGUACUCAUGUCCGCUGCUGAAUCACUAGGUUCUCAUCAACUUAACUCAUUUGCAGCGUUCCUCGAAGAAAAACUGCAUACUUCUUCAGAGUGUUCAAUUGUUCAAAUUCCUCAUCUGAAGAAAAUGGCUGAAGGAAAGAGACCGCAGAAAGGAGGAAAGAAACCGAAGGUCAUGACUGCUUUCGAGAUCCCUGAUGAAAUAUACAAGGAUUAUUGCACACCUAAUGAAGCCAAGUUUGGCAAAGAAAACAAGAAUCAGCGCAAAGUGCGCAUUCAGAGGAUUGAACGAAGAUGGGCACGAGAAUGGAGGGAAUAUCGAUAUGUUACUCCAAAGUACAUGAAGAAAUUCGCCUUAAAUCCUCCAUGCCCAAGAGCUCCAUUAGCACCUAGCCAAGUUGCUGAUCCCACUAGAAUCAAAAGUGGUGAAGACUUUCCUGAAGAAUGGGCUAGGCGCCAAGCAAAAUUGGCAAGACAAGCCAAGGAGGCAGUGAGGAAAUUCAAUGAGGAUUCUGCUAGUGCUGCUGCCGCUGAGACCUCGGUCAAGCCGAGGAAAUCAAUGCCGAAGAAGCCUGCUCGCAAGCCAAGUGCUUCACCAUCAGCGCCCUCACGGCCCAGUUCCUCAGCCGCGCCCUCACGGCAAAUUCCUCAGACUACUGCUGCUCCACCAAAGUCCUCAGCAGCUCCCUCCAAGUCCUCAACUCCUGUGCAUCUAGCUACAUGUCAAAGGACUCAGGGCUUCUCAAUUGCUUCUGGUGUCUCAGCGAGUUCCUCAGCUGCACCAAUGUCCUCAUCAGGCCCCACUCUGUUGAAGACAAAACCAACAGCUGGACGCGGUCCUUGGCCAAGUCCAAGAAAGAAACAGGUUGCUUUCCAAGUGCCCUCUGAUGACGAGGCCUUUGAUGAAGAACUUGCAGAAAUAAUCAGAGACAGACAACCAAAGGCCGCCAGAGCCAAAGGAACACCUGUGCCUUUGCUUCUGGAUCCGAAGAAGAUCCUCGACUACAUCGACUUAUGGCAUAAGGAUCCAAACACUCCAAUGCCUGAUCUGCCUCUGACUCCUGGUCAAAGUCAUAUGCUGACCUAUUUCAUCUCUCAAGAGAAAUGGAAGUUUGAAAAGGCUCGUGAGAUAAAGAGAGCACAAGCUAGAAAGGAGAAGCUUCUGAAGAAGAACGUUGUCAGACUGACACCUGAAGAACUUCUUAAGGCUCAAUCUGAGAUCCAAGCCCUCAGCAAAGAUUUCGAUGCAUACAAUGCUGAUUGGCAAGGAGCCAAAGUGAGAUUCGUCAAUUUGACGAAGAAAAUGACAACUGUUGCAGCCCCAUCGCAACAAGAAAAUCCUCAGGCUGCAGACUCUGCUCAGCCUGCUGAAGAACAUGCCAGCACUGCUGAUGACUUUCAGCCUGCUGAUGAGAAUACAAGUUCCAGGGCUGAUGACUCCAUUCCAGCCGCUGAAGAAAUUCCCAGGGCAUCCACUAGUGGUGCGCCUGAAGAAACUGAAGAGAUCAGGGCAACUACACCUGUUGCACCUGAAGAAAAUGAACCACAGUCCUCAGCUCCUCCCGCGCCAACACCAACUCCAAUCCUUCCUUCUGCUUAUGAAGUGAAGAAGACCAAGGCUGCAGAGCGAGCUGCAGUAAAGAAAAGGAAGGCAUCAGCUGCGUCAAAUUCUUCGGCCGCGAAGAAAAUGAAGCCAAUGACCAGCUCGCUUGAAAAUCCUAUUUGAUGCCAUUCCAAUUUCCUCCAUGUCAUCCAAGGAGAUUGUUCCCUAUGGAGAAGACUACAAGAUCCCAAGCGGAUCUGAUGAAGAAAAUCAUUCUGUUGCUACCUCAGAGCAGUUUGAUGAAGAAAUUGAAGUGGAAGCAUUCCCUUCACCGCCAGUCGUUUCCUCACCUAUGCCUCAGUUCACAGCUGAAGAGGCUGGUGUUGAGGAAAUUGAAAAAGAAGAUGAAGAUGUGGAUAUUGGAUGCACUACACCAGUGAUGAACGAUGACUUUUGGGAAAGUCAGCAUCCCAAUACUCCUCUCUUCACUCCUAUUCAACAAAUUCCUCAGUCCCCGGCUACAACUAUUCAAAUGGGCUCUGAAGAAACUCAUCCCACAUCGUCUAUUCAUGAAGAAAUUCCAGCCGCUAGUGCUGAAGAACCUGCUGCUGCUGAUCCCCAAACUGCACAAGAAGAGGAACUAGAAAUUCCUCAGCCUGAAGCACCUGAGAUCGUCAUUCCUGAGGUUGUGUUGCAAAUCACUGACACUCCUCUGCCCAAACCGAAGAAUCCGUUCUCUAGCAAGCAAAAAUUCAAGGCUGAAGACUUCUUUUCUGAGCAUGUGUUCUUCACUGAUUACAAUCCAUAUGACUAUGCUCGCAUAAGGAAGAGACGUUUCUGGACUGCUACUCAAGCCAACUUCUAUUCCUCAGUGCUCUUUGACAAGGACAAAAUCUUCGAUCAUGAACAUAUUCCUCAUGUGGAUAUGGAAUCUCUGCCAUGCUUCGAGCCAGUCCUCCGAGUUAUUCACGAUGCAGGACUACUGAACUUCUGCACUGAUAUCUAUGAUUGGAAUGAAGAACUCAUUCUUCAGUUCUAUGCCACUUUGCAUAUCACCGGAGAUGCUGAAGAUGUCAAUUCAUGGGUGCUGGAUUGGAUGACAGAAAACACUCACUAUAAGGCACCAGCAACUGAAUUGCUUCGUGUCCUUCCUCUUGAUCCUCCCCAUGCCAGUGCACGUUGCAUCUACAAUGACCGCGAACUGACAGAUCAUUAUAUGCAAGUGCUCAUGAAGCCUUUGAAGCCAGGGCAGGGCCCACGAACCAAAUUCCUCUUCAAGGAAUUGCUAUAUGUGCCUCGGACUGUCUAUCGCAUACUGACGAAGACAAUGAGUCCUAUCAAAGGCCACGACUCAAAUGAUGAAGAUGUCGUUGGCAUCAUGAAGAACAUGCUUUUCAACAUCAUUCAUGGCGUUCCCGUCAACUUCCAUGAUUUCUUCAUGAGGACUCUGGCUAAUGUUGCUAUGUCACCUUUUGAGCUGAAGCCCUAUGCGCCUUGGAUUAUGGGAUUCAUAAGGGCAAGUUCCUCACUGAAUUACAAGGCUGACACUCUGAACCAUGGUAGCUACUUGCCGCCCAUUGAAGUCCUCAAGCGACCAGUUUCAUCAUCUGAUGAUAAGGGCAAGGCAGCUGCUGUGAUCGAUGAAGGCACUCGUCCAUUGGAUGGUUAAUUCCGUCUAGCUACAUCUUACUCCACCAAUGACGAUUCUGCAACACAUGACACUGCCGCAAAUACAUCAGCCAAGCAAAAGCCUCAAGCAACAGCACCCAGGGUGAUGACUGACCGUGAGUUACUCCUCAAUCUUCAUCAGAAGGUUGAUCGCAAUCACAAAUGGGUGAAGCGUCAGUUUGCUGCAAUUCUUCACAACAUGACCUCAACCCAUAAUGCAGUGAAGAAAAAUCAGUAUCACCUUCAUGAAACCCUCAACCGCACCUGGGCUGUUCUCACUCAUGUAUAUUCCGCGGAAGAACUGAAGACUAUGGGUCUCCAGGAAGCAUUUGACUGGUCUGCACCACCUCCAAAGAAAUUCAAGAGUCAAAGUUCCUGAUCUGGUGGCCAGUUCUUAUUCUUCAUCGCGUGAAACUGAUGAGCAUGAAGAUUUGGACUACAGUCCGGCAGGCCCUACUUCAACGAACAACCCCGACAACGCUGGCGCUCCUCCAUCGACUUGAAAUUCUUCAGGGGCGUUAGUCCUCAGUUUCGAUCCUUUUGGUCAUUUGAUGACAAAGGGGGAGAAAUCUGAGUUAGUCUUCAAGCGGGUUUAUAUUAUGGGCGUUUUAUUAAGUUACAAUUCUCGUUCUUCCGAAACUUUUUAUUGGAUCGAGUUGUAAUCUUAAAUCCGAUGGUGCCCUGAUACUUUUGGACGUGCAUGGUGCUCUGACUUUAAUGCACUGUGCUCUGAUACUUUUGAUGUGUUAUUCUGCAUGCUUAUUCCUCGUUAAUAUUAUUGCACGCAUGCUGAAUCUCAUCAGGCACCAUAUUUCAUCAUGCAUUUCAAAUUCUUCAUGUUAUAUAUCAAAUGCGUGUAUGAAUUACAAGAUAUAGGGGGAGAUCUCCAUGAUUCAAUUCUUCAAAUGUGCAUUGCCUCAAAAGCAAAUUCCUCACUAUGCACAUAUUCAGGGGGAGUUCUUCUAUAUCUUGCAAUCAAAUUCCUCAAUAUCAGUAUUUACACUUCAUAUGUUUAUCCCUGUUGAAAACUUAACCUAUGUUGUCAUCAAUCACCAAAAAGGGGGAGAUUGUAAGUGCAUCUAGUGCCCCUUAGUGAUUUUGGUGGAUUGAAGACUUAUAGGUUAAGUGACUGAUGCGUUUGUGAGUGUACACAGGUCUAUAAGUCUAUAAGGAGUUUGAUAUUUACAGAGAAAGUCGACCCCUAAAAAUGAAGUUCGACUGAAGACUUCGAUAUUCUGAAGACUUUCUGAAGACUUUGAAAGUGAAGAAAUUGGUGUGACCUUGAAGACUUGGUAUUCACUUGAGGAACAUGAAGCGUGAAGACUUUUGUUUUCGUAGUUUCAUUUUCUCUUUCUUGAGUCAUAGGAAACACCGUACUGUUAAAGGGGGUCGAGGAAAUACUAAAGAAAAAUUUCCAUGUGAUGCUCAACUCAAAAUCCUACACCUACCAAUCCCUUCGAGUGAAGCCAUUGGAAAUCUCAUACAGUUCAGUCAAUUUCUUCAGUGACAGAGAUGCAGUUCUUCUGGUCACUGAGGACUUUGCUCUAGCUGAGGAGUUAGGAAUUCGCCAGUGCGAAUUGCCUACACAGUGAGGAACAUGAUAGCCCUGAGGAAUUUGAGAGUCAAAUUUCCGACCGUUGCUGUGCUGCGCGCCGGCUGUCCAAAAUAUCUUAUCCACCUAACGGUCAUAUCAUUGAAGGGCAUUUAUGUCUUAUCAUGUCGGGCUGCUCCCUAGGCUAUAAAUAGCCACCCCCUACAACCACUAGUUGGUUGGCUGCUCCGAGAGAACUUGACACUUGUCAUCUAAGAGCAACCCAUCCUCCAAGGACUUUGAGCGAAAAUCAUCAAGUGAGGAAAACCCAAAACCAAACCCCCACAACCCAAAGUGAUUGAGCAUCACUGAAGAAAUUGAUCCUGCGUGGAUCCGACGCUUGUUACCUUUGAAGACUAUGCUUCUUCCAGACGGUUAGGCGUCAAGGUCUAGAGCAUCCAAGAGGAAUUGUGGAUCGCCGAGUGACCAAGUCUGUGAAGGUUUGGAAGUCACCUGAAGACUUACCACGAGUGAUUGGACGAGGCCUGCGUGGUCUUAGUUCAAGGAGAAUACGGUGAGGACUGGGUGUCCUGAGUUGCGGCUCGGAGACUGGGUGUCCGGGACUGUGUGUCCUCGAGUUUAAAUACUCAGUCGCUCCAACCAGACGUACAACUGAGACAGCAGUUGGAACUGGUUUACCCAAUCAUUGUCUUCACCAACUAACUGGUUCUAUUUCCUCAACUCUUUCAUUUCCUCAUUACUGUGUUGUAUGUUGUUCAUAUCUGUGCUUGAAGACUUUGACUGAAGACUUUCACAAAUUCCUUAGUUCAAUUUCUUCAGUCUGUUUGUCUUCAUCUUGUUAUCCUGUGUUUACGCUUUCUGUACUCUGUGCUAGUCUUCAUUUCAUCAUGAUAACUAUGUUUAUAUCCUGUUAUGUUUACUUCUGAGUACUUAUUCUGCUGCAAGUAGUUCUUCGCUAAGGAAUUUCCUCACCAGCAAAUUCCUCGGUGAAGAAUUCAUAAAAAUCGCCUAUUCACCCCCCCUCUAGUCGAUAUAACGCACUUUCAGCCCGCAGUGCGAAGCCGCCGAAUACGAAGAUCUGUGCGGGGAGAAAAGUCUCACCCUGGACGGCGUUGUUGAUUGAAGAAGCCGUCGAGCCUAUCGGUGAUGACACAGAGGAACUCUCAAUGAAAGCACCAAUGUCGGUGUCAAAACCGGCGGAUCUCGGGUAGGGGGUCCCGAACUGUGCGUCUAGGCAGAUGGUAACAGGAGACAAGGGACACGAUGUUUUACCCAGGUUCGGGCCCUCUUGAUGGAGGUAAAACCCUACGUCCUGCUUGAUUAAUAUUGAUGAUGUGUAUUACAAGAGUGGAUCUACCACGAGAUCAAGGAGGCUAAACCCUAGAAGCUAGCCUAUGGUAUGAUUGUUGUAAUGGAGGUUAUGUCCUACGGACUAAAGCCCUCCGGUUUAUAUAGACACCGGAGAGGGCUAGGGUUACACAGAGUCGGUUACAAUGGUAGGAGAUCUACAUAUCCAUAUUGCCAAGCUUGCCUUCCACGCCAAGGAAAGUCCCAUCCGGACACGGGACGGAGUCUUCAAUCUUGUAUCUUCGUAGUCUUGGAGUCCGGCGGACGAUGAUAGUCCGGCUGUCCGGACACCCCCUAGUCCAGGACUCCCUCACAUACCGAUGACAAAGGGAACAACGUAUGUUGUUUUGCGGUUUGACCAAUAAAGAUCUUCGUAGAAUAUGUAGGAUCCAAUAUGAGCAUCCAGGUUCCGCUAUUAGUUAUUGAUCGGAGAUGUGUCUCGGUCAUGUCUACAUAAGUUCUCGAACCCGUAGGGUCCGCACUCUUAACGUUCGAUGAUGAUUUGUAUUAUGAGCUAUGUGUUUUUGAUGACCGAAGUUUGUUCGGAGUCCCAGAUGAGAUCACGGACAUGAAGAGGAGUCUCGAAAUGGUCGAGAGGUAAAGAUUGAUAUAUUGGAAGGUUAUAUACGGACACCGGAAUGGUUCCAAAGAAGAUUGGGGAUUUUUCGGAGUACCGGGAGGUUACGGGAACACCCCGGAAAAGUUAAUGGGACUCAUGGGCCAUAGUGGAGAGAGGGAAGGCUGCCACAGGAGGUGGCGCACGCCUUCCCCCUGCCCAAACCGAAUUGGACAAGGGGUGAGGGCGCGGCCCCCCUUUCCUUCCCCCUUUCCCCUUUCCCCUCUCCGUUGGAAGGAAGGGGGCCGAAUCCUACUUGGACUAGGAGUCCAAGUAGGACUCCCCCCUUGGCGCGCCCCUCCUAGGCCGCCGGCCUCCUCCUCCCCUCCUUUAUAUACAGGGGCGGGGGCACCCCAAAGACACACCAAGAAUUCACUUAGCCGUGUGCGGUGCCCCCCUCCGCAGUUUACUCCUCCGAUCAUAGCGUCGUAGUGCUUAGGCGAAGCCCUGCGCGGAUCACAUCAUCACACACUGUCACCACGCCGUCGUGCUGACGGAGCUCUCCCUCGACCCUCUAUUGGAUCAAGAGUUCGAGAGACGUCAUCGAGCUGAACGUGUGCUGCACACGUAGGUGCCGUACGUUCGGUACUUGGAUCGGUUGGAUCGUGAAGACAUUCGACUACAUCAACUGCGUUAACUAACGCUUCCGCUUUCGGUUUACGAGGGUACGUGGACACACUCUCCCCCUCUCGUUGCUAUGCAUCUCCUAGAUAGAUCUUGCGUGAUCGUAGAUUUUUUUUUGAAAUUGCAUGCUACGUUUCCCAACACCGGGGUCCCGGAGACUCAGUGCCGACAGCGUCCCGGUGCCUCUAGCACCCAUCAGAGCUGAUCGGCGCGCCAAAAUCGCGUGCAUCCGGUCCUCGUUGUCGGAGUAGGCGCGGAACCAGCUGAAGUACGCCCCCGACAGCAACACGCUGUGGACGGCGUACUUCGACCGGCCCCACGAGGAGCAGCUCGCUUCCACCAACGGCAUCAAGCCACGCGGCCGCCCUCCGACGGGUGGCGCCAAUGGUGGGCGUCCCCGGCCGCACCCUCGAGGCCGUCCUCGAGUACAUUGAGGUCGGCAACACGCCGCGCCUGGAGUACCCGGUGCCCCCCUCGUUCUCUCACCCCCGUGGCAGCUCCUGGACGCCGCGGCAAAUGAAGACGACGACCUCCUCGUCGUCGGGCUCCCUCUCCUCCGGAUCGCCGGUGCUCCGCCCCGUUAAGCCGGAGCCUGGCGGCGCCCUAGUCAUCAACGAGGACGGCCGUGGCCCCUCUCCUUCCUCUUCCCACCUCGUCAGGCCGAAGACCGAGCCGGGGCUGCUCCCCGUGAAGAAGGAGCAUGAGGCCAUGGCCGCAGACGACGAGACCGCCCUCAAAUGGGCACGGGGGGCUACGUCCGCGAGGAGAUGGCGCGCCAGCGCCGCGCCCUCAAGGAGAUCACCGCUCGGCGCCGUGGACGCGAGGAGGGCGGCGUCCUCUUCCUCGACGACAUCGACGAGGAGGCGCCCGGGCCGUCCAAUCCCCCACGCAUCGGCGACGCUGGUCAGGGGUGUGGCAGGGACAACGGCGGCACGCAGGACGGCAGCGAUGACGAUGGCGGCGACUACACCAGGAUGACAGGUUGUUCGGCAUGUAGAAGGCAGGCGGCGGUGGCUUUAGUAUUUAUUACUUUUAAUAGUAGUAGUAGCUAUUUGUUUUAAAUUUAUGUUUUCGGUUUUUUUACAAAUAUCAAUGAAAUCAUCUAGUUUGACUGAAUUUGUGUUGCGUUUGGCCGAAUUUCGGCCGAGUUUAGUUGUGAAAAAACGGCGUCUAAGGCGGCCUUGGCGGCGCGGUUGGGAAACCGACUGCCCCCAUGCCGUUUUGGCCGAAUUUUAACCGAGUUUAGUUUUCAAAAAAAGACGUCUAGGGCGGCCUUGGCGCGGCGGUUGGGAAACCGCCGCCCCCAUGCUGAUUUUUCCACCGGCACGCCCCCACAUGGCGCUAUUUCAAGUUCCUGUGGCCCGAACGAGUUGGGAGUAUCUUAGGAAGGGAGGGAGUACCAAGAAACAAGAAUCAUCACCCCCCACUAAAAGUUCACCACAAACCGAGAAACGGAGACCAAGAUGCAGGGAUUUCGAUGAUGAAAGGAAAGUCAAAAGCAAGAAACACUUUGUCACUCCGUAUGAGCAACGACGAAAGUAUGAACUUGGAAACUAAAUGUACGUCCUGACAGUACAGUACUCCAACUUGAUCAUACUUUAUGCUGAAAAUACGUUACAAACGCAUCCUAAUUUGUUUUCUCCCUGCAAAAAUUUGCAUCUUGUCCUCACAGAUACAGAUCUAUCAAAAUCCAUAAACCUAUCGCAAACCCUGGGCCAACAAAUAAGGAACAGAUCGAGUCUGAAUGACAUUUCAGACAUUCAGUAUCUGGAUAUCAUGGCAUGUCGUACCCAUCCAUCCAUGGACUUGCCAUUCCUGCCUCUGCAACGCCAUCCAGCGCAAUGGCAUCAACUGAGAGAAGCCACGGAUCCGGGGAAGAGAAGAGCGGCU